CACAAAUAAGUACUAUGUAUGAUGAACAUACAAAAACAUGCUUAAAAAGGGACAUUUCGUUCGAAAGUCAUGCAUAUGUAAUUUUGGUAAAACUUCAUGAAUAAGAGCAUAUUAGGCAUAAUAUCCAAAACUAAAAUCAACAUAAAAAUCAUAUUUUAACAUUAGGAUAUAUUCAAAAUACAAGUUUUAGAAAAUACAUACUCGUAAGGUACAUAAACAUUAUAUACUUUAUAUAAACACAUUAAGACCAUCCCCUAAUACAACUUUAAGUCAUACUUGUAUAAUGUAUGAGCAACAUCACAUAAUACUAAUCACACUAAGUAUUCCUCAAAUCCACUCUAGACUAAGCACAUCCAUAUUCAUCGCGUAAAGACAAGAAAAUAAUUCGUAACACAACCCAAGCAAGACAUACACUAUUACAUAAAAUACAUAAGUCAACAUUCUAUAUUAACUUUAUUAAGAGUACAUAAUUUAUUAGACAUUAAGUAAACGUCCUUAAUAACAUACUCAUAAGAUAUAAUAUCAUAACAACAUAAGUAAUUCUGUAGAUAAGGUCCCAUAACCCUACCUACAAUCAGUACAAUCUCUGGACUACCGUUCUAACACUUGUCAUAAAUUAGUCUCAUACAUAGUUCAUACACAUAGUAAAUAGACAUUCAUAAUCAUGUUGAUGUUCAUAAUUCAUAAACAUACUUCAUAUUCAUAGAACAUAGACAUACUUCAUAUUCAUAGCACAUAACAUAAUGCAUAUUCAUAGUGCAUAAACAUAAUGCAUAUUGAAAUUACAUAAACAUAAUGCAUAUUCAUAGUACAUAACACAUUGCAUAUUCAUGGUACAUAAACAUUAUGAGUAUUCAAAAUACAUAAACAUAAUGCAUAUUCAUAGUACCUAACGUAAUGCAUAUUCAUAGUACAUAAACAUAACGCAUAUUCAUAGUACAUAAUCAUAACAGGAACACACCAUGACUACUCUCAAAGUACACUUGUGCAAUGUAUGAGUGACAUCCUAUACUACCACUCAUACUAAGUAAACCCUUUGAGAAACCAUAGUAUAUAACUCACUUUCGCAUUCAUAAUUCAUAUUCUUGAUCAUUAAAGGGAAUAUAGCCUUGACCGACAUAGACCAUGUGAGCUACAUGGAGUCUGGUGUGAUAUGAACCCCCACUAAAAGAACGCAUCCUACUUGCCUAACGUAAAACUGUCAUGCCAUGUGCCUACACCCUGUGCAGGACUGACACUUGAAGACCAUCGUUGGCCCUCAAGUGCACCUUUAUCCUGACUUACUUAACUCAGCGGAAGGCUAAACUCAUCUAAAACAAAAAAUAGGAGAUGUUUAAAGGAAAAUACUUCAUAUAAUAUCUGGCCAUGAUGGAACUUAAGUCUCAACAAACAACAAUAAACUAUAUAAUGAAAUAUUAGCAUCUACGAAGCCUCUAAACUAACUGAAGAGGGACGUUGGGACACACUCCACAAUAUCCUAAAACUAAACCAUUAAAAAAUGUAUGUCUUACUGAAUGCAAGGAGGUUGACCACUAGCUGUGGAGCUCAAUCUGAAUCAAUAAAACGCCGCGUGCUGAUCCUGGUUACCUGCGUCUGUAUCAUAAAGUGAUGCAGUCAAACUGGCAUCAGUACAUUGAAUGUAUGAGUAUGCGAGUUGGAAAACUAAAAAAAACUUAAGCUUUGAAGGAAGUAAGAAUGAUACUUACUUUGUCUCUAUUCAACUCGUUAUCCACGAACUCUUAUUCAAUAUACGUAGUUAAAAUAAAUGCAAUAUAAAGAAAUGCCGAUUGAAAACAUGUUUAAACCUCUGAGUAUAUAUAUAAAGUACACUAUAAUGUCUGAGAUGUAUAUAAAAUACAAUACUGAUGUAUUAUUAAAAUAUAAUACUGCUGCGUAUAAAAAUACACUUUUUAUCUUAGGGAGAUUCUCUAACCGACAACCAUCACAUAAGAGUUAGAGUGAUGAUAUAGCUGUCUACCGCACACUACUAGCACAUACUAUACCCGGCCAAAGGUAUGGGACCUGAACUACCUAAUGGAUCCACUAGUUAACUUUGAAAAAGCAUUAUCUAAAAAGUACGACCCUUUUCUACCUAUGCUGGCAAACAUGGUUUAUGGGGGCUGUGAGUUAUCUGAACUCUCCCCCAUAUCGAUAUCCAAUAAUACUCCCAAAGAUGUAAUGGAUCUUAUGUUUAAAAACAUAUGGAUUAUGUGGUUUGAGAUUAGUUCUCAAAACUUAGCUUUUUUAAAAAGCUUUCUUGGAAAUAAUAGUUUCCUUUUUCUUCCAUUAAAGCUAGCCAUAGGCUAUGUGGAAGUCUAGAUUCCCUUCCUUCUCACAAAUUUGAAAACAUUUUUUUAAAUACUUAGGGAAUACUUAGUUCCCUUAUAACUCUUUUGAAGUGAACUCAACUUGAUACUCUUUGCUUACUUGAAACAUUAACUCUUAGGGAAUACUUAAUUCCUUUAUAGCUUUUAAGACAUGAACUCAACUCUUUACUCUUUCUUGAGUUGAACUUUAAGUCUUUUAAAAAAAGUGAAAACGUUCGUUCAAGACUUCAGAAAACAUGAUAACUUUACUUUGACUCGCUUCUUAACUCCUAGACUAGUCUCUUAACAUCAUUGACUUUGAUCUUAACUUUCCUUGAAUUGGAUUAUGGAUUCAAGGAUCAUGAUCUCAUGUUUAUGGAUAAUUUUAUGAUGUUUAGAUGUUAUCUAGAGUGUUGGAAUCAACUAAGAAUGAAGGGUACAUCACUUAGGAACUAGUAUGAAAAGAUAGUGAAAAAUGAGGUUUCUAGGGGGUCCUGGCGCUCAGAGUGGCGCGGAGCGCCAUAGCCUGAUGGACAGAGCCUGUCCUUAAGCUCUUUGAGAGGCGCGAUGCACUCUGAGAGCGCCAUAGCCUUACAGACACACUCUGUCUUGAAAUGCUUUGGAGGCGCGGCGCCCCAGUGUCUCUCCAACGGGUUUUCCGACUUUAUUCUUUGUUUUCAUCUCCUGUCCUUCCCAAACUACCAUGGAUCACACCCAAAAACUUAGGAUCCCUAAAUAACUUAUUACCCAAUAGUUUAGACCUAGAAACAGCUUGGAAACAUGGAUUAAAACUAACAUGAAUCAACAACAAUUCAACCAACAAGAACUUUAAACUUUCAUCAAGAACUUUAAGAUUUCCUUUCAAUUAACAAUAAAUUUCAGUAAUGAAUUAAAUAGGAGGAUGGUUGAAAGAACCCAACACCGAUUGAUAUCACAUUCCUUAUUAGGGAUAACCCCAUGAAAUCCACGAACGAAUUCUUGGAAUUCUUGCAUCUUCUUCUUCCUUCUUUUAAUUUCUCCUUUAUCUCAAAGCUCAAUAUUACUUUAUAAGUGUGUAAACUGAAUGGGAUCGGUUUAGACCCCAACAUCUUACCCCAGAAACAAUUUAGUAAUAAAGUUAGGAAAUGACCAAAACACCCUUAACAAAUCCCGAUUUGGAACUUUCCCUACAAAACAACCCAACUUUCGAAAGUGAUAUCUCCCUCAUACGACCCCAUAAAUUCACAAACAUGGAGUCAUUCAAAAGAUCUUUCGAUGAGUUUUCCAUCCAUAUAAAGAAUUCACCCAAAAUCUUCCUGAGCUAGGAAUUAUGGCCAUUUGAAAAUUGACCAAAACUCACUUUUGAAAUCUGGAAAUUUUCCUGAUUUCCUUACUUAUUUCCAAAUUAGAUUCUUCUUAUAUUUAUUAGCUUAACCUUAGGUUUUCUAGAAUACUAGAUGUUAAAAUAUCUACCCCUUGGGAACAUUCGUCCUCGAAUGAGAAUUCUUUCUCUAAGCUAACGAUAGUAAUUAUCAUUUCAGUACUCAACCACAAAAGUAAGUAGUAACAUGCUUAUGCAUAAUCUUAUAAAGUGCUAAGAAGAUAGUUUAGUACCUUAAUUUGUAUUCUCUUUGGAUUCAAAUAGAUGUGGAUAUCUCUUAUUCAUAUCCUCCUGUGCUUCCCAUGUGUCUUCUUCAACAAAUUGGUUCCUCCAAAGGACCUUGACUGAAGCAACUUCUUUUGUCCUCAACUUGCAAACUUGCUGAUCCAAAAGCUGGACCUGAACUUCUUCAUCGGAUAAUUUGUCCUUAAUCCCCACAUUCUCUGUUGGUAAUAUAAAUUAAAGAAUUCCAAUUACUUAUUCAUUGAAAUAUGGAAUACCGGAUGAACCGCUUCUAACUUUUGGGGUAGGUCAAACUCAUAAGCUACAUUGCUCACACUCUUGUUGAUUCUAUAAGGUCCAAUAUAGUGGGGAAUAAGUUUACCCUUCUUAACAAACCUCAUAACUCAUUUCAUAGGUGAAACCUUUAGAUAAACCCAAUCAUCUACCUCAAACUCUUAUGGCCUUCUUAUAACAUCUGUGUAGGACUUUUGGUGACUUUUUGUUAUCUUCAGCCUUUAAUGAAUAAGUUUCACCUUAUCCAUAGCUUGGUGAACUAAAUUUUGUCCUAUCAACCCUACUUCUCCAACUUCGAACCACCUAAUAAGAGAUCUACGUCUUCUCCCAUAAAAAGAUUCAUAUGGGGCCAUUUAGAUUCUCGAAUGAUAGCUAUUGAUGUAAGCAAACUCAAUGAGCGAUAGGUGAUCGUCCCAAUUUUCGUUGAAGUCGAUCACACAAGAUCUCAACAUAUCUUCUAAGGUUUGUAUAUUAUGCUCUGCUUUUCCAUCUGUCCGAGGAUGAAAAGCAGUGCUAAAAAUUCACCUUACAACCCACCUUUCUAGGAAGAUUUCAAGAAUUGUGCACCUCUAUCUGAAAUAGUGGAGAUCGGAACCCAAUGAAGUCUUAUCACUUUUUGAAGGUGCAACAUAGCAUAAUCCUCAGCAGAAUAGGCAGUCUUGACCGACACGAAACAGGCUGACUUUGUCAUUUUGUUGACAAUCACCCAAAUGGAAUCAUGUUGUAUUCACGAUCUUAGCAAGCCUGUGAUGAAUUCCAUAUUUAUCAUCUCCCACUUCAAUUCCAGAAGCUCUAUCCUCUGAUCUAAACCUCUAGGCCUUUGGUGUUCAACUUUCACUUGCUGACAAUUAAAACACUAUGCAACAAACUCAGCAGUAUCCUUCUUCAUGCCUUCCCACCAAUAUAGCUCUCUAAAAUCAUGGUACAUUUUGGUGGCAACUGGAUGAAUGGAAUAUUUGGAGAUAUGAGACUCCUCCAAGAUUCUUUCUUGUAGUCCAUCAAUAUGAGGUACAAAUAAUCUGCCUUGGUAUUUCAGCACACCAUCUCCCCCUUGUUCAAAGGCCAAUACUCUUUGUCUAUGGACACUUGCCUUCAAAUCAAGAAAAAUAGGGUCUUGGUCUUGAUUCUCUUUCAUCUCGGACACCAAUGAUGAUUCAUCCCCAUUAGUCACCCCUAUGCCUCCUUCUAUGGAAUCCAUAAGUCUUACUCCAGUCGUGCAAAUCUGUGAACAUCUUUUACUAACUCCUUCUUUUCUUCUUCGACAUUAAUAGUACUUCCCAUGAAAAACCUGCUUAAGGCAUCAUCAUUCACAUUAGCCUUACUUGGGUGGUAAAGAAUACUCAUGUCAUAAUCCUUGAGUAAUUCCAACCACAUUCUUUGUCUGAGGUUGAUCUCUUUCUGAGUGAAACAUAUUGGAGGCUCUUUUGAACAGUGAAUGUAUCCAGAUGAACUCCAUACAAAUAGUGAUGCCAUAUAUUCUACACAAACACUACUAUAGCUGAUUGUAAGUCAUGAGUUCGAUAAUUCUUCAUAUGAACUUUCAACUGUCUAGAGUCAUAAGCUAUAGCCUUGCCGUUCUGCAUUAACACACUGCCCAAGCCAACUCUUGAUGUGUCACAAUACACCACGAAUCCUUGAGUACCAUCUGGCAAGGUCAAAACUGGAGUUGUAGUCAAUCUCUUUUUCAACUCCUAAAAUCUUUUAUCAGAAGCUUUAGACCAUUGAAACUUUACUUUCUUCUAUGUUAACUUGGUUAAAGGAGAGAAGAUAGAUGAGAAUCCAUCAAUAAAUCUCCUAUAAUAGCCAUCCAAACCCAAGAAAAUCCUUAUAUCUGUUGGAGACGUGGUUCUAGCCCAACUCUGAACUACCUCAAUGUUCUAAGUGUCAAAUUUUAUACCUUUUGUCACAACCGGAGUCUAGACCCUGAUGAGACCGGGGUCGUUGACCUCUCAGAGUUCGCAGACAAGCCUACGUACAUCAUCGUAACAUCAUCUAGGUUAAUUUUAGCGGAAAAUUUAAACUUUUUGUUCGUUAACAUUCAUAUAAGACAUUUUACUUAAACUCAUGAACGUUUACAAUCAACCAUCUAAAAUUAAGAUCAUCAAAUGAAAGAAAUAGUUCUAUACUGCAUUAAGUGUAUACUUUCAAAAAUGGCACCAAGAUAAUGUCUGAAAUAAGAUGAGAAAGAAACGCUAGUGGAACAUACUCCACUAAAUCAAACGUAUAUCUAAUCUAGAAUAUAAUGGGAAAGCAUCCUCGAAAGAAGGAGGUCCUACAAAAUCCGAAUGAAUGCUCCACGUCUGGAUAGCUUCAGUGUCAACCUGUAAGCUCUAAUAUCCACCUGUGCCUGCACCUAAAAAUGUUGAGUGUAUGGGAUUAGUACACACUUGUACUAAGUAUGGUUAUAUGCAAGCACACACCAAGGACAUGCAUGAUUAAGAAGAUCUCUUUCCUAUCGAUAUGAAUUAUCGAAUAUCAAGUCAGUGGACUUGCAAAAUUUUGAUUAGGAAAGUCAUGCCAUGAGAGUGACAUGCAUCAUCAUACUUAUCAUUUUGCAAUCAACACAUAACAUAUUACACAUAUCAUAUCACGUAGUUCAUAUCAUUAUUUCAUAUGCCAUGAGAACUUGGAAUCAUGGACUUGACAUUAGGACUUCCCAAAAUGAGGGCUCAACAUAUGGGACCUCAACUAGGUAGCUUUCUUCAGCAAACACAGAGUCUGCUUUAUUCGUUCAUACGUACUUCAUUUUCAUUCAUUCAUAUACUAGUGCAAUCAGCAGUCAUACCUAGGAUGCAGUUUAAGACUCUAAUCGGUUUUGCUGUGCAAUGACCAAGAAUAACCUAAUGUCACUACUUAAGUCUAGCUCACCUCUUGAUUAUCCUAUCCUAAAACCUUUGGUACCGUUCAUUCAUUAGGUGCAUCAUUUGAGGCUGGCCUUAUUCUUUCUUUGGUAACUUUAACCUUAACCGACAUAGAUCAUGUGAGGAUAACUAAAUCCAAUGUCUGCCACAUACCAAAAAGACGUGGAAUCACCGGCCAAAGUGACCCAAACAUGCUAGCGUUUAUAGAGAGUCGAAUCCUGCUAGAUACCUAUAUUGGCAGUAUAGGUUCAAAGACUAGGAUCUAUAAGGAGAUCCAUACUCGUCAUGCUGGACAGUCUCAUCUCAUGAGAGUUAUGUGAACCACCGCCCUUUCCGAAGGAAGGCAUCACCGCUCAUAGCUAGCCUAUCGGUGCUCUGUAUAAAGUUUCAUUACAUUCAACUCAUAAAUCAUGGAAGAUGGCUUCUAGAAUGAGGACAUCAUAUCUCAUUAGAUAAUUUCUCAUCUCAUCAUUAGCAUUAAGUAUGCAUAACUCCGAUACUUUCAUUAGUCUGUUUAUAGGGACUGAUCUCUUCAUUAACUUUACACUCUCAUAGGUGAGUACGUUUUGGUAACAUUUACAUAGGCUCAUUUGAGAUUGAUCUCAUAUUUCACAUUAGUCUCUUAUCAUAUUGUAACCUCAUUCAUUAACUUUAACACAUUUACUUUUCAUAAUUACUCACCCCUUCACAUGAAUUUUCAUUUCAUCAUAUGUCAAUGCACUUGGCAAUUUAGUGUGUUUCACACUCUUACUUAACCCUUCUAGGGUUACAUCAUUUUCUCACAUACAUCUUAGACUCACUUACUUUUAAACGUAUUCUAGACUUAUGAGUGCACACAUACAAGUCAUGAGGCUUCAUUCAUAGUUAUUCUAUGUGAUUCAUGUUUACCCAAGAUUAUUUGGUACAAGACUUAUGCAUCUUUUAGAUAUGCCAUGAUAUUGAUUUCAAUCUUUAGAGGCAACAUACAUUAAAUAUUUACUUAUGUAUGACUUAUGUGUCAAUACGGAAUUGGUCAAGGGAACCCUAUUUCGAAUCCCUUGGACAACACUUAAUCUUAUUUUAAACUUGAUAAUUGCAUUUUCUAGAUUUGGGGGAGCCUAGUUCGAUUCUCAUCAACCCCGUAAUAUUUCCUUUUUGUUUCUCCUAUACUUUUUCUUUUAAGUCAAGGAGGUUAUGGGUUCAAUCCCCCACAAACUUAUUAUUUUUCUUUUAAUUUAUCUCUUAACUUUCUCACCUAUCCAAGAGGUUGUGGGGUCAAUCCCCACUCUCCAAAUUUAUUUUUUCCUUUAUUUUUCUCCUAACUCUCUCAUCUAUUCAAGAGGUUGUGGGUUCAAUCCCCACUCACCACAUAUAUUUUCCUUGCAUUUUUAUCACGAAAUUUUUAUGAAGUUUUUAUUUGGUGAGGUCAUGGGUUAAAUCCCCAAUGAGCUUACAUUUUAAAAAAAUUUUAAUUGAAUUUAAUAUUUUUAAAAGUUAGUCUCCUCAAUCCAUUUUUGCCUUAAUCUUUUGAUGAUUUUUUUGUAGCUUUCAUGUAAUGUUGUCUUGGAUUCGAUCCUUAGUGAUUUCACUUAUUUUAGAUUCAUUUUUCAUUGCAUUUUAUAUUACUUUGAUUGGCUGAACACAACCUAACAAAUGUUGGAAACUUGUUCACUAUUUGCAGCUCCUUUUAUCAGCAUUUUUUCAUUAGAUCAUAGGACGUUUGAUGAAACAUUUGGUGCAUAUUAAAGUAUAUUUUAUUCCUGUUUAUAUUUAUCCAAGAAUUACCUUUAAAUCCAGCAACAUUACACCACUUUUGCACAUCAUGAUUUACACAAACAUUUGCACAAACAUCACUUUUCACAUACUUUCUGUUGGCAUAAAUUGAUAUAUGCUUACAAUUCCAAACACAUAAUCAUGAACACAUUAUCACGAAAAUCACACUUCAUACUCAAAUUACCACAAAAAAUACCAACAACAUGAUCUCUAGCCUAUUUCAAAUUGAUAUUAGAAGGAUACUAGGGACAAGGAGUUUGACAAGAACGGGAACAACCCUAGUUUCAAAAUUCGUUGAAUUCGUGGAAAGGAAAUUCUCUUGGAGAAAGGAGUCCAGGAGAGAAACCCAUACUUUAAUUUUGUGUUUUUCAACACAAGAACUGCUUUCUAAAACCCUCUCCAAAUUCAUAUCCAUGUCCCGAAACUUCAACACAAAACUCGAUGGAAAACCCUUCUUUUUGCUUUACGUAUUUGGUUAACUUUUUGUCUAUGUUUUUGACGUGUAAAUUCAUCAAGUAUGAAGAAAUUUUGGUUGUGUUUUCGGUGCUUGUAUUUUGUUAGAAAGUAUACGCAAAAGUGAGAGAAUUGAUCGUGAAAGAGAAAGGAUAAACGCGAGAAGUCAGUGGUUCCUUAGGAUAAGGAUUGUAGUUUUAGAUUUAGUCAAAAUAAGGUUUUGUUAGAUUGUAAAAAUCAAAUUUAUUUAAAUCACACGUGAAAUGACCUUAUUUCCCUUACAAAAAAAUCAGAUUCUAAACCCCAUUUUAAUUCACAUGGCAAUGCUUCCGUCGAGGAUCAAACCCGUGACGUCCCCAUCGCGAAAACAGGUCCCUUCGGAUCGACCCAACUCAAACUGCCCCAUUAAUUAAUUAAUUAAUUAAUUGAUAAUAAUAAUAAUAAUAUGAUUUUACUUUUUCUUAAAUCAGAAUUUAAAUAUUAAUUAAUUAAAUUAAUUCUCCAAUAUAAAUAAUCAAGUUAAAUCAUUGCUCCCACCUAGGUUCGAACCCGGGUGGAGCAACAUUUUUCUCAAUGGGUAAUUUCAGCCCUUUCUACCCAAAAUGCCCCUCCACCAUAUUAAUGAAAUAAUUCAUUACAUAUUUAGGAUAAUUACGAUACUACCCUUAGCCUUGAAAAAGACCAUUUUACCCAUACAUCCUCCAAACAUAAGAUUUCCCCUUUUUUUUAAGUCCGGUAUAGAAUCAUGCGGGUAAAUCUUCAUAUUCAGGAGCCCUACAUGGAUGGAACCAACCUUUCAUAACUCAAAUAAAUCCCCACGUUAGGUUGUUUGUCUGUAGCAAGGGUUCAGAGGGUCUCGUUCUACACGCAUCAAUUCGUGUGAAACUGAUAUAUUCGUAGGCAUUCUAGACACACUAAACGUUACUUAGCAUAUUCAUUUUUAGGGUUGUUACACCUUCACCCGAAACAAUAGGGCCUAAGAAGUCCACAGACAAGCCAAAACUCAAAUUUUGAUAACUUGUCAUACAUCUCCUUAUCUCUCAACAUCUGAAGAACAACCCUUACGUGACUCGCAUAAUCUUCUUCAUUCCUUUAAUUAAUCAGUAUGUCACAAAUGAAGAUGAUGACAAAAAUAUCUUAAUAAGGCUUGAAGAUUCUGUUCAUAAGAUCCAUGAAUGUUGUAGCUGCAUUUGUCAAACAAAAGGACAUAAUCAAAAAUUCUUAACGCUCUUACCUUGUUCUAAAAGUUGUGUUGGGAAUAUUACAUUCCCUUACUCUCAGCUGAUGAUAGCCUGAUUUGAGGUCAAUCUUAGAAAAGCAAGAAGCACCCUGAAGUUGAUCAAAAAAGUCAUCUAUCCUUGGAAGAGAAUAUUGUUCAUGAUAGUCACCUUAUUCAGCUAACGCUAAUCUAUACAUAUCCGAAGGGACCCAACCUUGUUCCUCACAAACAAGAUCAGAGCUCCCCAAGGUGAGACAAUUGGUCAAAUAAAAACUUUAUCUAAAAGAUCUUGUAACUUCUACAUUCGCUCUAUUAACUCUACUGGUAGCAUUUUGUAUGACGGAAUAGAGAUAGGACGAGUAUUUGGGAUGAUUUUUAUACCGAAGCCUAUCUCACUUUUGGGAGGGACUCCAGGUAGUCAUCAGGAUAGACUUCUAGAAACUCACUGACUAUAGGAACUGAAUUAAGGGAAGAUACCUCAACUAACUUAUAAAUACACCUCUUGUAAACUAACUUCCUUGCCUUAAGUACAAAAUGAAUCGACCCUUAGGCCCUGAUAAACUACUAGCCCACUCUAUGACUGGAUCAUUAGGACUAUGAAACUUGACAACUGGAGUUCUUUUUUUUAUUGAUGCAUAACAGACAUGGAGUCAGUCCAUACCUAGAAUAAUAUCAAAAUCUACCAUGCCUAACUCUACUAGACUAGCCAUGGUACUCUUGUGACUGACAAAAAUAGGACAAUCACGAUAGACCCUUUCUGCCUAAAAUUGAUUCACCAAAAGGUGUCGAUACACUAAAUGGUUCGAUAUCUAGCUCAGGAGAAAUCUCAAAGUUCAUAGCCACAUAAGAAGUUACAAAAGAUAAACUAACUCCUAGAUCUAAUAAUGAAUAAGCAAUAAUGUGAAAGACUCAAAUCAUACCAGUGAAAAUAUCUGGAAAACUCUUUAGUACAUGGCAAUUAUUAUGAGCAUACAAGCAGUUUGUUCCUCCACCUGUUCCAGAAGUAGUUCCCCUAGGUGCAAGCUUGUUUGGUGGAGCAACUGAUGAAUAUUGAGCUCUAUUGCCCAGAUUUCCACCUCCUUGCUUGUCGUUGGGGCACUCUCCAAUGAAGUGACCCUCUUGGAUACAUUUGAAACAACCUGUGAAUCCUUCAUGAUAGAUGACAAAGUGAUUCCUACCACACUUGGCGCAGGCAUGAGGCUUAGUACAUUCUUACGCCAUUCUACUUUUAGAUUUAUCCGGCCUAGCUUUGAAUUUCUGCGAAUUCUGGCCACUAUACUCACUUCGGUUUCUUGGUACAGGUGCACUAGCAAAUGAUAACCAUGCCAUUUGGCUUAUCGAAUUGUGGUCAGCUUGAACCACCUUUUUUUUACCAGACUCAUUCCAGUCUUAGCCUUAUUGUUUCGGUACUCUUCUAUAUCCUUAACGUUCUCUUCUUCAACUUGUUGGAUAAAAACCAUCGGUAUGGAUAUGUCCAUAUCACCUAUCAACAUGGCAACCUACCUUCCUUACUUGAAAUGCGACCUAACCCUGUAAUAAAUAGAAUCAUCUGCUCCUUAUGUCUUUCACUGUCUUUGGAGAAUAGUGAGAUAGUUGGGUGAACUGUAUCCCUUACUCUUGUACACUAAUGGAGUCAUGUUUCAGAGUAAUGAACUCCCGCACCUUGGGUUCCUUCAGUUCACAAAGAAAGAACCUCCCCAAGAAUGCUUCUUUGUGACAAGACCAACUUGGACGUGGUGAAUGCUCAACUCUACCAUCCUCCUAUUUAUCAAACAAGGUUAUACCACACCUUUUAGUUUAUAUGCAUGCUAUUCAACCCUCUCAAUAUCUACCACAUCCCUCUUUAACUUCUCCACAAAGUUCUCUGGAUUCUCAGUAGGGCUUGAUCCAGUGAAACUAGGAGGGUUCUUACUCAAAAACUCGCGAACUCUCGAGUUAUCAACUCCUUCUUGUCGAGAUGCUCUCUGUUGCCAAACUUGGUCGGUCACAACUUGAAUUAACAUCCGGAUAGCUUCCCAAAAUUUGUCACUGGUAACCUCUCCUUGGUGUUACGCCUCUAGUGCAUUUGGAACUGCUGGUUCAUUUGCAUUACUUCGUAGCCAACCUAUUAUUGCUCUUCUUGGAGGAAUGAUAAUCGGAAAAAUAUAUGUAAGCAUAAAUAAGUGUGAGACUUUAAAGAUAAACUCUUCGCACGAUAGGAACAUGAAAUAAAGGAAACAUUACUAAUGUUUUAGCGUCCUAAUCAUAGAUGUGGCACGCUUCACGUGAAUGACUAAGACAACUUCAUAGACACCGUAGGAUUCUUGAAACCUGGCUCUAGUACCAAGUUUAUCACGCCUCGAGCCUACACCCUAGGCGGGACUGGCGCUCGAAGAUCAUUGAUGAACCUCAAGUGAACCCUUGACCUGGCUUACUUAACUCAGCAGAAGACAAAAAUCAUCUUAAACAAUAAAUAACACAUGUUUAAAGGAAACUACUUCAUAUAAUAUUUAGCUAUGAUGACACUUAAGGCUCAACAAGAAAUAAUAAACUCUAAAUUGAAAUACUAGCGUCUAUGAAGCCUCUAAACUCACUGAAAAGGGAUGUUGGGAAAGACCCCACAACAUCCUAAAAUUAAACUACUAAAAACAAAACAAAUGGAUAUCCUCCGCAUUGCAUUGAGAAUCACCACUGACUCUGGAGCUCAAUCUGGAUCAAUGAAACGCUUCGUACUGAUCCAAGUUACUUGCGUCUGCAUCAUAAAAUGAUGUAGUCCAACUGGCAUCAGUACAUUGAAUGUAUGAGUAUGGGAGUUGGAAAACUAUACAAAACUUAAGCUUUAAAGGGAGUAAGAAAUAAGACUUACCUUGGCUCUGUUCAACUCAUGAUCCACUAACUCUUAUUCAAUAUACGCAGUUAAAAUAAAUGCAAUAUAAAGAAAUUCUGACUGAUAACAUGCUUAAUCCUCUAAGUAAUAUAUACAAGUACAAAACAAUGUGAAACAUGUAUAUAAAAUACAAUAAAUAGGUUUUAUGAAAAUACAAUAAUGUUGUGUAUAAAAAUACAAUUUUUUACCCGAGGGAGAUUCUUUAAUUGACAACCAUAACUUAAGAGCUAGAGAGAUGAUAUAACGGUCUACCGCAUGAUGCCAGCACAUCCUAUACCCAACCAAAUUUAUAGGACCUGAACUGCCUAAUGGAUCCACUAGUAAACUGUGAAAAAGAAUUGUCUAAUAAAUAUGACCCUUUUCUACCCAUGGUGGCUAACAUAAUUUAUGGGGCUUGUGAGUUAUCAGUAAUCUCCCCCAUAUCGGUGCUCAAUACUACUCCCCAAAAUAUACUAGCUCAUAUAUUUAAAAAUAUGAUGAUUCUGUGGUUUGAUAUUAGUGCUCAAAACAUAGCUUUUUUCAAAAAGAUCUCUUGGAAAUCAUAAUUUCCUCUUUCUUCUAUUAAAGCUAGCAAUAGGAUUUGUGAAAGUCUAAAUUCCCUUCCUUCUCAAAAGUUUGAAAACAUUUUGUUUAAAUCCCCUAGUUCCCUUAUAACUCUUGGGAAGUGAACUCAACUUGAUUCUCUUUGCUUACUUGAAACUUAACUCUUAGGGAAUACUUAGUUCCCUUAUAUCUUUUGAGAAAUGAACUCAACUCUUCUUUCUUGACUUUUACUUUAAUACUGUUAAACAAAGUGAACACGUGAUAAAGACUUUAGAAAAUUUUAUAAUCUUACUUUGACUCGCUUCUUAACUUUAAGACUUGGCACUUAACUUCCUUGACUUUGAUCAUAACUUUCUUUAUAUCGGAUUAUGGAUUCAAGGAUCAUGAUCUCAGUUUUAUAGAUAAUUUCAUGAUGUUUAGAUGUACUCUAGAGCGUCGGAAUCAACUAAGAAUGAAGGAUACAUCACUUAGGAACUAGUACGAAAAAAUAGGAAAAAAAACGGGGUUUCCAGGGGAUCCUGGUUCUCUGAGAGGCGUGGAGAGACAUACACUGACGGACAGAGGCUGUCCUCCGGUGCUCGAAGAGGCGAGGAUCACCUUUUUCCUGAUGGAAAAACUCUGUUACAGGCGCUGUGUAGGAGUGGCUCCACAACAUCUCUCUAACGAGUUUUUCUACUUUCUUCUUUUUAUUUCAUCUCUUAACCUUCCCAAACUCCCAUGGAUCCCACCCCAAACACUUAGGAUACCUAAAUAACUUAUUAUACAAUAGUUUAUACCUAAAAACAUUCCUGAAAUAGGGAUUGAAACAAACAGAGAUCAACAACAAUUGAACCAACAAGAACUUCAAACUUUUCAUCAAGAACUUCAAGAUAUCCUUUAAAUUAAUGUUAAAUUUCAUUAAUGAAUUAAAUUGGAGGGUAGGCGAAAGAACCCAACACCAAAUGAUAUCAAAUACCUUUUUAGGAUCACCCCCGAUGAAAUCCACGAAUGAAUUCUUUGUAUUCUAGCGUCUUCUUCUCCCUUCUCGUUUUUCUCCUUUCUCUCAAAGCCAUAGCUUAUUUUCAAAGUGUGUAAAUUGACUCAUAUCAGAUUAAACCCAACAUAUUACCCAAAUAAUGAAUUUAAUAAUUAACUUAAGAAAAGACUAAACACCGUUAACAAAUCCAGAUUUAGACUUUUUCCCUACUCAACAGCCCAACUUCCGAAAGUCAUAUCUCCCUAUGCCCUAGGAAAUUCGCAAACUUGGCAAAGUGGGAAAGAUCUUCCGAUGCAAUUUCAUCCAUAUAAAGAACUCACCAAAACUCUUCCUGAGCUGGGAAUUAUAGUCAUUUUCCUUACUUAUUUCCAAAUUUGGGUUUUCUUGUUUUUCUUAGGUUAACCUUAGCUUAUCUAGAGUAAGAGGUUUCACAAUAUAUCCCCCUUGGGAAAAUUUGUCCUCGAUGGAGAAUUCUUUUUCUAAGAUAUGUAUACUAAUUAUAAUUUCAUCACUCAACAACAAAAGUAAGUAGUAACAUGAUUAUGCAUAAUCUUAUAAAGUGCUAAGAAGAGGGUUUAGUACCUUGAUUUGCAUUCUCUCCGGAUUCAAAGAGAUGUGGAUAUCUCUUCUUCAUAUCCUCCUGUGCUUCCUAAGUGGCUUCUUCAACAAAUUGUUUCCUCCAACGAACCUUGACUGAAGCAACUUUUUUUGUCCUCAACUUGCAAACUUCACAAUUCGAAAUAUGGACCGGAAGUUCUUCAUCGGAUAAGUUGUCCUUAAUCCCCACAUUCUCUAUCUGUACUAUCAAUGAAGGAUCACCCAAACACUUUUUCAACAUUGAAAUAUUGAAUACUUGAUGAACCUCUUCUAACUCUUGGGGUUGCUCCAACUAAUAAGCCACAUUGCCCACUCUAUUGGAUUCUAUAAGGCCUAAUAUACCGGCUACUAAGUUUCUUCUUCUUACCAAACAUCAUAACUCUUUCAUAGGUGAAACCUUAAGAUACACCCAAUUGUCUACCUCAAACUCUAAUGUCCAUCUUCUAACAACGGUUUAGGACUUUUGGCGACUUCGUACUGUCUUCAACCUUUGUUGAAUUACUUUCACCACCUCCAUAUCUUGAUGAACUAAAUCUUGUCCUAUCAACCCUGAUUCACCAACAUCAAAACACCCAAUAGGAUAUAUGCAUAUUCUCCCAUAAAGAGCUUCAUACGGGGCUAUUUGGACGCUCAAAUAAUACCUAUUGUUGUAAGCGAACUCAUUGAGAGGUAGGUCAUCAUCUCAAUUUCCCUUGAAGUCGAUCGCACAAGCUCUCAACAUAUCUUCUAAGGUUAGGAUAGUAAGUUCUGCUGGUCCAUCUUUCUGAGGAUGAAAAGCUGUGCUCAAAUUCACGUUGGAACCUAAACCUUUUGGGUAUGAUUUCUAGAAUUGUGAAGUAAAUUAUGCAUAUCUAUUUAAAAUAAUGGAGAUUGGAAAUCCCUGAAGUCUUAUGACUUUUUCAAGGUACAACUUAGCAUAAUCCUCAUGUACUGACUCACAACUAUCUCCCUAGAAGUUUGGAGAAUCCUUGGAUCAUCACAAGACGUAGUUGAUCCUUUGGGUUCUUCUACAAGCCUUUUUAACUAUCGUUCAUUACAUAAGUCAUGAAGAGUAGUGUGGAAUUAAAACUUUUCAUGUGAUUUAAUAUAAAAAGGAAUUAUUUCAUAUAUACUAAGAAAAUCUCAUCGUCACAAGCCAAACACAAAGCGAAAACAUAAUAUCUUAGGGACACGACCCUUUACAUUUGAAAGAAACUACAUAAUAAGUCUUAAUGACAAGAUUAAGAAACAUAGAUUAUGUCCUCAAAUAUAUGAGGACAUACCAAGUCUUGAGUGAGUAGAUUCAAAAGCUUCGCAUUCUAGACUUCUCCUUUGUUCCAAACCUAUAUUUAUAGAGUAUAUAAAAGAUGGGGUUAGUACAAAUAAUGUACUAAGUAUGGCAUAUGCAAAAACAUGCAAAAGGGGACAUUUUAAGAUAAAUACAUUUUCAUGCCAAUUAAGUAAAAAAAUUCAUGAAUAUAGAAGGAAACUACUAUAUAGAUAAUCAUUUAACACUUAGGAAAGGAUUUCCAUAAUUUUUAACAAAAAGGACCAAGUUAAAGUAAACUACCCAAAAGUUACAGUGAGCUCAUUUUUGCAUUACAGUGAAACCAUUUUAGAAUUACAGUGAGCUAUUUUUAAUCCCCAAAAAUGUGAACUCCAAAGUCAAUCAAAGAGGAAGUGAACUCAUUUCCGUAGAAGUUUCCCUACCUAUGGUUAUCCUAAGACUCACCAAGGCAAGACAUGAAGUAAAAGCCCAUACACCUCCUUCAAUACACACCUAGGUAAUCCCAAGACUAGCCCUUCUAGGCUUAUUCGCCUCGGGAGAAGAAUUCCCCAAUCAAAGACAAGAUAUUAGAAGAACACUUAAAAACUUCACAUAAGACAAAGCAAGAUUCCCCUUUUAGAAUGCUUACUUAGUGCAAUGAGUAGAUGGCGUCCCAUUCAACCACCUACCCUAAGUAGUACCCUCUUUUAAAAGACAUAGCUUAUUCAAUUCAUAUAAGACUCACCAAGACUACCCUUCGGAAUGCCUACCUAGUGGAAUGAAUACAUGGCGUGCUAUUCCACCACCUACCCUAAGUAGUACACUCUUUUACAGGACAUAGUACUUUUAAUUCAUAUAAGACUCACCAAGACUUCCCUUUCGGAAUGCCUACAUAGUGCAAUGAAUAAAUAGCGUCCCAUUCCACUACCUCACCUAAGUAGUGGAUUCUUUUAGAAGACUUAGUACUUUCAUUACUUUUGUUAGGGUUAGCUUAAUUAACAUAGACCAUGAGAUCUAGAUGUGUAAUCCUGAUAUUAACUCCUAUCGGAUGAGGUAUCCUCACUUGCCUAGAGUAAGGUCAUUCUCUUAAAUUUUACGUGGCUUUCCCAAUAGUUACACGUAUGCAGGCACAUAGUUAAGGGAUAAGGAGAUUGCUACUAAUUAACUCAUUGUCUACAAACGAGGGGUACUCAUCUCAAGAGGUACAUUAGAAUACAAAAUCUCAAUUUACAAAGUGUAACCACCCCUUCUUCAUAUCCUCUUGAUGCUAGGAUUAACUCCCUACAGUUUCUAGACACUUAAAAUAUAUAUGCCUCAGUUAUAAAUGCAUAAUUACCAGAUUAGUUAUUGCAUUCUUAGUUUGCAUGUUCAGUUUCAAGUUACCAAGUAUUUAUAGAAACUCAGACAUAAUCAAUAAAUUUACAGAAUUCAUUGGGAGUAGCAUAAUACUGAGUUGGACUAGGGUUCAGCGUACCCAUUUAGUCCCAGAACUACUAGCCAAGUAGAUUGUAAGUCCCCUCUGUGGGCAAUCAGUUUAGUGAUCAUGCCAGCAUGCCUUUAAACCUCUAUCUGGGUAUAUUGGGUCCUCUCGAUGGGCCUUAUACAUCAGACUCCAUAUUUAACUCAAGUAGUUUUACCGUUGGUUAUUAGUAGCUCCCAUAUUUCAGUCAGACUCUCUACAUUGACCAUUUAUCAGUAUAUGUAGUAUUCAGUCUCAGAAUGUUACAAAUUGGUCACCGCAUCGAGUUAUCUCAGAAAUUAGCAUAUCAUGUAGAGAUUAUUAUACAUUCUUUUGUGCUUAUUCAAUUAUGUUUUAUUUCAGCUUUACUCUAUCCUACAUACUCACUACCUUUCAAGUACUAACGCAUACGUGCCUACAUCUUCUCGUGAUGUACGUUUAAGUUCUUAGCAUCUAGAUCAAGCAUAGAUCAAUUAUAUGAUCUCCUGUUCAGCAGAUUUAGUGGUGAGUCCUUAUUCUCCAAGGACAAUAGUCAUGAGUGUCAUUUUAGUCUGUAGUAAUUUCAUUUUAGGUUUUGCUACAUUUAGUUGGGGCUUGUUCUAGUAUUUCUAAUCUAGUUUAGAGGCUUAUGUCAGACAUAGUAAGUUUGAGCAUAGUGUGGAGUUAGUAACUUUAUAGUAUUAAACUCAUCAUUCUUCAUAUUAUAUCUAUUUUAGCAUGCGGGUAUUCCCCAUUUUUUCAUUAUAAGUUAUUCUUUAGCUUCUACAUCAUCUUAUUAUCUUUAGUAUGAUCAUGAUCAUGCCAGCAGGGUUAGCUUGGGAUCACUUAUGGUCCUAGUUUUCAUGUCCGCGUCUCGGGGAUAGCUCGUGGCAUGACAAAACAUGGUAUUAGAGAACUAGGUUCAAGAGUCCUAGGAUGUUUAAAAAGCAGCACUAAAUAGAAUCCUUUUCAUGUGUGUGAAGUGCACCACAUCUAGUUAGAGGGAGGCUAUGAAGUUUUUUAGGGAAAACUUCACAUCCUUGUUACUUUUAUCUUGCGUGAGGUAUGAUCUUAUUCCAUUCUAACAUGACAUUAUACUCACAUCAUGCCUCCUCGUAGAGAUAACGCUAGGAAUGCGAACGCCAGAAAUUCAAACGCAACUCCUCAUGCUCCAAAUGAGGAAGUCUCGAUUCUGAGUUCACAAAUGCCAUAUAUAUGUUGGCUCAUAGUAUGACUAACAAGAAAAUCAGGUUCAUGCUCAUAUGAAUGAAAAUGGUGGAUCAUUGGAAGCAAGGGUCCGUGACUUUGUUAGGAUGAAUACUCCUGAGUUCUCGGGAUCGCAAGCUAAUGAGGAUCCUCAGAAUUUCUUGGAUGAGAUCAAGAAGAUCUUUGAGGUAAUGCAACUCAGUGGCAAUGAUCAGGUUGAUUUAGCAUCAUACCAGUUGAAGGAUAUUGCUCAUAUCUGGUACACUCAGUGGAAGGAGAAUAGGGGUGCAAAUGGGGCUCCUAUCACUUGGGAUUGCUUUAGUGAGAAUUUUCUUGACGGGUUUUUCACAAUAGAGUUGAGAGAAGCAAAAGCCCAUAAAUUCAUGAACUUGAGGUAAGGUAACAUGAUAGUCCAAGAGUGUGGGCUGAAGUUUAACCAACUCUCUAGGUAUGCUCCUCACAUGGUUGCUGACUCCAAGGCUCAAAUGAGCAAGUUCUUGAAUAUUCUUAGUAGAAAUCGCGUGGUGGAAAUCACUCGCAGAGUCAACAAAAGUUUUCAGCUCCAGCCCCUUUGUUAGUUAGUGCUCCAUCCUCCAAGAACAGGUAUGACCAAAAGGGUAAAACAUCAAGCUCUAAGUCUCAGGGAGGUGGUUCAGGCACUAAGAUUUACCCAAAUUUCCCUAAGUGUUGUAACAACCAUAAGGGCGAGUGUCUCGCGAGAAAAGAAGGAUGUUUUGGGUGCAGUCAGUCUGGUCACAUGUUGAGGGAUUAUCCUUCUAGACAGGGUUAAGGAGUUGGAAAUUGUAGAACUCAAUCUACAACUUCAGCAGCACUAACAAGUCGCCCAACUCAGUAAGGUAACUCAUCUGGUAUAAGUGGCGGUCAUCGCCAGAACAGGUUGUAUGCUCUUCGGGCUCUCCAGGAUCAAGAAGUUUCUCCUCAUGUAGUCACUGGUACGUUACGAGUCUUUGACCUUGAAGUUUAUUCAUUUUAGAUCCAAGGGCUACUCUUUGUUUUGUAACUCCUUAUAUAGCAGUCCCAUUGAGUGUUAGUCCAGAAACUCUCUCAGAAUCUUUCACAGUCUCUACUCCAUUCGAUGACCAAGUUAUAGCCAGACAAAUAUAUAGAAAUUGCCCUAUCACAGUAUUUUAGAAAGUCACCUCAUCAGAUCUAGUAGAAUUAGAAAUGGUAGACUUCGAUGUCAUUCUAGGCAUGGAUUGGUUACCCUUACAUUAUGCCUCACUCGAUUGUAGAACUAGGAUUGUUCAUUUUAAGUUUCCAGAUGAACCAAUCUUAGAAUGGAAGGGUAGUAGCUUAGCGCAUAUGGGUCGAUUUAUUUCUUAACUUAAGUACAAAUCUCUAUCAUCUAGUUUGAGUAAAGGAUUCUAGCCUUGAAAACCCAACUCUUGAGUCAUUUACACUAGUAUGUGAAUUUCCAGAAGUAUUUCCAUAAGAUCUUCCCAGAGCCCCUCCCGAAAGGGAAAUCAACUUUUGAAUUGAUCUCCUUCAAGAUACCCAGCCUAUUUCUGUUCCUCCUUAUAGAAUGUCUCUAUCAAAGCUUAAGGAAUUAAAAGAGCAGUCGAAAGACCUUCUAUAUAAGGGAUUCAUCAGACCUAGUAUUUCUCCAUGGGGUGCACCAGUGUUGUUCGUAAAGAAGAAAGAUGGUUUUCUCAGAAUCUGCAUUGAGUACAGAUAGUUGAACAAGGUCACAAUCAAGAAUAAUGUAUCCCAUCCCAAGGAUUGAUGACUAGUAAUCUCUCAAAGAUGGACCUCAAAUCGGGUUAUCAUCAUCUUAGAGUUAGAGAUAAUGUUCCAAAAAUAGAAGUUAGAACUCGGUAUGGUCAUUAUGAAUUUGUAGUUAUGUCAUUCGGACUAACAAUUGCUCUUGCAACUUUCAUGGAUUUGAUGAACAAAGUUUUCAAACAGUGCUUGGACUUGUUCGUUAUUGUCUUUAUUGAUGAUAUCCUCAUUUACUCUAGGAGUGAGGAAGAACAUGCAAGUCAUUUGAGCGUUGUUCUAUAGACUCUCAAGGAUUGCCAUUUAUUUGGUUAGUUUAGCAAAUGUGAGUAUUGGUUGCAAUCCAUUGCUUUUCUUGGUCACAUUGUAUCUAGCUAAGGGAUCCGAGUGAAUUCAUAGAAGAUAGAAGAAGUGGCCCAGAUAUACCUCUACUUCAAAUAUAAAAGGUUUCUUAGAUUUAGAGGGUUAUUACAGAAGGUUCAUGAAAGGAUUUUCAUCCAUAGCCACACCAUUCACUAGGUUGACUUAGAAGAUGGUCAAGUUACAAUGGUCAGAUGAUUGUGAGAAAAGAUUUGCAGAACUCAAAAAUAGAUUGACCAUAACUCAUGUCUUGACUCUACCAGAGGGUUUAGACAGUUAUGUGAUUUAUUGGAUGCAUCCAGAGUUUGCCUAAGUUGUGUGUUGAUGCUGCCAGAUAAGGUUAUAGUGUCUUCCUCUAGACAACUUAAGGUACAUGAGAAGAACUUUCAAACUCAUGACCUUGAUCUUGCAUUAGUGGUGUUUGCACUCAAGAUAUGGAGACACUACUUGUAAGGUUUCAUGUAGAUGUGUUCACCGAUCAUAAGAGCCUUUUCUAUAUGUUCACCCAGAAAGAGUUGAAUCAUUGCCAGAGGAGAUGGCUUGAGUUCCUUAAUGAUUAUGAUAUGAGUGUGCAUUAUCAUCCUGGUAAGGCAAAUUUAGUAGUCGAUGCUCUUAGUAGAUUAUCUAUAGGUAGUGUAGCCCAUGUUGAGGAAGAAAGGAAGGAGCAAGUGAAUGAUGUGUACAGGAUUGCUAGCUUUGGAGUUUGCCUUAUUAGCAUAUCAGAGAGUGAUGUAAUAGUUCAAAAUGGGGUAGAAUCUUCUUUGAUUAUGGAGGUUAAGGAGAAGAAAGACAAUGAUCAAAUGUUGCUUGAAAUCAAUGGUGCAAUCCACAAUUAGAGUGUGGAGGAUUUCUCCCAAGGGGUAGAUGUUGUACUACGCUACAGGGUAGAUUCUGUGUUCCUAAUGUGGGCGAGUUGAGAGAGAAUAUUCUUGCAAAAGCCCAUAACUCUAGGUAUUCAAUUCAGCCAGGUGCCCCUAAGAUGUCCCGUGAUCUACGAGAAGUCUAUUGGUGGAAUGACAUGAAGACGGAAGUAGCAGAAUUUGUGAGUAAGUCCCCCAAUUUCCAACAAAUUAAGGUAGAACAUCAGAAACCAGAAGGUAUGACUCAAGAGAUCGACAUUCCUACUUGGAAGAGGGAACUGAUAAAUAUGGAUUUCAUCACAGGGUAACCACGUACGCACAGACAGCAUUACUCCAUUUGGGUGAUAGUUGAUAGGAUGACUAAGUCUUCUCGCUUUUUAGCUGUCAAGACUACAAAUUUGGUAUAGGACUAUGCCAAGCUUUACAUUAAUGAAGUUGUGAGGUUACAAGAGGUUCCUUUGUCUAUCAUAUCAGAUAGAGGUCUUCAAUUUACCUCUCAUUUCUGGAAGUCAUUUCAGAAAGGUCUUGGUACUUAAGUUAACCUUAGUACAACAUUUUAUCCAUAAACGGAUAGGUAUGCAAAGCAUACAAUUCAGACCUUAGAAGAUAUGUUGAGAGCUUAUGUGAUUGAUUUCAAGGAUAGUUGGGAUGAUCACCUUCGUCUUGUUGAGUUUGCAUACAAUAAUAGCUAUCAUUCCAGCAUUCUGAUGGCCCCUAAUGAGGUUUUAUAUGGGCGUAGAUGUAAAUCUUCGGUUGGUUGGUUUGAAGUAGGUGAAGCAACUUUGAUAUGGCCAUAUUCAGUCCUUUAUGCUAUGGAGAAAGUGCAACUCAUUAGAGAUAGACUUAAGACAGCCCAAAGUUGUCAGAAAUCUUAUGCACAUUUAAAGCGAAAGGGAACUAUAGUUCCAAGUCGAUGAUUGGUUUUUUCUGAAAGUGUCAGCUAUGAAAGGGUUGAUGAUAUUUUGCAAGAAAGGUAAGCUCAAUACUAGAUAUGUAGGCCUUUAGAAGAUUUUAAAAAGGAUUGGCAAGGUGUCAUGUGAGUUAGAGUUACUAGAGAACUUAGCAACAAUGCGUCGGGUCUUCCACAUCUCACUAUUGAAGAAGUGUGUGGGUGACCCAGCCUCUAUAGUGCCAUUAAAGAAUGUGACGGUGAAAUAAUCUUUCUUAUGAGGAUGUACCAGUUGAGAUUCUUAAUUGGCAAGUUAGAAAGUUGAGGAACAAAGAAGUCUCUUAAGUCAAGGUUUUGUGGAGGAGUCAGUUCGUAGAGAGACCUACUUGGGAAACAGAAGCAGCCAUGAAUUGCAAGUAUCCUCACCACUUUCCUUACAUUUCAACUCUAGCUUGAGGUAAUAGUUCCUCUUUAGUUUUCAAGUCAUUCAUGCGUAAAUUCGGUCUUAAAAUCAUGUUCCCUCAGUUUGUAAUUGAAUUUUUAGCAUAUUUGCAUGUUCUCGGAACUCAAUUAAAUUAGAAACUCAGUUCUCAGUGUUUAGUAGUAGGGUUUGCAACUCUUUCCCUCUAUUUCAGCUAGUUUAGUCCUCAUUUAAGGACGUAUGUUCCCAAGGGGAAGAUAAUGUAACACCCUGUAACAAAAACACACCAAAAAAAUCAAUUUUUUGAAAAAAUUACAUGUGCAACUGACAUGACCAUCAAACUACUGUAUCCUGGCCCACGGUCUGUCCUACACAACAAUCGAUGAGAUCAGAGACUCCCAAAAACUCAGUUAGUGAAAAUUGGCUAAGUCUUGAUCGACGGACAGACUUACGGUCCGUAGGUCAGAUGACGAUUCGUAGUCUGUGACCAUUGAGCAAGAGCCCCUUCAACCACUCUCUGACAAGAGCCACAGAUGACCAGUAUGGUCCGUAAGGUGAACCCAUGGUCCGUAGUUCUGGCCGUAUGUUGGAUUUAACAGACAGUUAAGGGAGGAGUGCAGUUGGGUCAACUUCAAAUUGCCAUACCUCUUAUAAUAAAAUGAAUUACGUUUCCCAUGACCUAUCAACAGAUAUAUAAUAGAAUUAUCUUUCUAUAGCCACCGACCUUGCUAAUAUCAGACCUCUGAGUAAAAAGUUAUGCUCAUUUUAGUAAGGGUUUGUCGAACAGGCCCAAUCGAUAGACCAACCGACAGGGUGUGGAUCAAUUAAUUAAUUGUCUGUUGUGGCCGUCCCCUGGUCCGACAACAACUUUCACAGGGGUCUGUUGGACCUUUUCCACUCUGUUUAAACCCUAAUAUAUGUCUUUUUGACCCUAAAUCAUCAUAUUUUAGUCAGUUUGAGUAUAGAAACAUAAUUAAAACAUGUCUAAGUCAAAUCAUUAAAUCAAAACUUAGAAAAUAAGAACCAAGAGAGGAUAAAAAUCUCAAGAAUCUGAGUUCAAGAACUCCACAAGCUUUAGCAGUUCCAGCCCAAAACUUAAGUAUUUUUCCAUUGAUUUCAUCACCAGGUAUGUGGGAUUUCACUAGUGGGUUCCUUUCACCCAUUGGGUCCCUAGUUUUCGGUUAGAUUCUUGAUUCUCUUGUCAUGAUUAAACAUAGGGUUUCUAUAACUUUGACAGAACAUCAUAAAUUUAUUAAAAUAUACAUUCCAAAUUAGAUUAUCAUGUUAUUACUCAGAUUAUCUUAUGGAUUUCAAACCCCAGUUUAGUAUUUCUUUAGUUGUUGAAUUAAACAUGCUAGGUCAGAUAUUUCAGACACUUCAGAUAUACAUGCCUCAAUUAUAAAUGCAUAAUUUCUAGUUUAAUUGUUGCAUUCUAAGUUUGCAUGUUCAAUUUCGAGUUAUCUAGUAUUUACAGAAACUCAAAAAUAAUCAGUAAAUUUACAGAAUUCAUUGGGAGUAGCAUACUACCAAGUUGGAGUAGGGUUCAUCGUACCUAAUUAGCCCCAGAACUACUAGCCAAGUAGGUUGUAAAUCCCCUCUGUGGGCAAUCUGUUUAGUGAUCACGCCAGCAUGCCAUUAUACCUCUGUAAGGGUAUUUUGGGUCCUUUUGUUGGGGCAUAUACAUCAGACUCCACAUUUAGCUCAUAUGGUUUUAUUGUCGCUUCUUAUUAGCUCCCAUAGUUCAGUCAAAAUCUUUACAUUGACCAUUUAUCAGUAUAUUUAGUAUUCAGUCACAGAAUAUUAUAUUAGUCAUUUCAUCCAGUUAGCUUAAAAAUUAGCUUAUAAUGUUGAGGUUAUUAUGUGGAAGUACGUGCAUUCCCAAUGUCAUAGGAGGGAUGGUGUCUUGAGGAAUCAAGGAAGUAUGUGCAUUCCCAAUGUAGGUGGCUUGAGGAACCGGAUUCUUGAGGAAGCUCAUGAGUCUCAUUACUCCAUUCAUCUGGGUUCUACAAUGAUGUAUCGUGAACUUUGAAAAGUGUUUUUGUGGGAAGGCUUGUUGAAGGACAUAGCAAAAUUUGUUGCAAAGUGUCCAAAUUGCCAACAAGUGAGAGUCGAACACCAAAAUUCAGAUGGUUUGUCUCAAGAAAUCCAUGUUCCUAUUUGGAAGUGGGAAUACAUUAAUAUUAAUUUUGUUGUAGUUCUCCCUCAUACAAAAAGCAAUAUGAGUCCAUAUGGAUGGUGUUGAAUAGGUUGACAAAAUCUGCUAAUUUUAUUCCCGUCAUGUCCACUUACUCUGUGGAGGAUUAUGCAAGAAUCUUCAUAGAUGAGAUUGUGUGUCUCCAUUGUAUUUAGUUAUUUAUUAUGUAGUAUAGGGGUACAUAAUUCACAUCUAGGUUUUGUAGGUCAUUCCAAAAAGGGUUGGGUACCAAGGCGAAGUUAAGCACAAGUUUUCAUCCUCAAACGGACGGUCAAGCGGAGCGUACUAUUCAAACCCUUGAGGACAUGCUUAGAGAUUGUAUAAUUGAUUUCAAGGUAAAUUGGGAUUGACACUUGACCUUGGUUGAGUUUUCUUAUAACAAUAGUUACCAUUCAUCCAUAUCUAUGGCUCCGUAUGAAGCCUUGUAUGGUAGGAGAUGUAUAUCUCCAAUUGGAUUGUUUGAAAUGGGCGAUUCUUCGGUUUUGGAUCCCAGAUUGAUUUAUAAAACUUUGGAGAAGGUUGAUAUUAUAGGAAUCUCUUGAAAAAAUCCUAUAUCCGGCAAAAGUCUUAUGCAUACCAUAGGAGAAGAGAUUUAGAAUUUGAAGAAGGUGAUAAAUUGUUUCUAAAAAAUUUACCCUAUGAGGGGUGGUGAGAUUUGACAAGAAAGAAAAGUUGAGUCCUCAUUAUGUGGGUCCUUAUGAAAUUUCGCAAAAGAUUGGUAAGGUUGCAUAUGAGUUGAGGUUACCUAGUGAAUUUGCUUUGGUUCAUCCGGUGUUCCAUGUUUCAAUGCUUAUGAAGUAUAUCAGUGAUGCCGAGUUCAUUAUUCCUAUUAAAAGUCUAUGUUUUCAAGAGAACCUCUCUUAUUAGGAGGUUCCGGUUGAAAUCCUUGAUAUACAAGUAAAGAGGUUAAGGAACAAAGUGAUGGCUUUUGUAAAGGGGUUAUGGAAGAACAAUCUAUUUAAGGGAGCAACAUAGGAGGUCGAGACUGACAUGAAGUCCUGUUACCCUCAUCUAUUUAAUUACUAAGGUUAGUUUUUUCCUAUUUGUAAAAAAAUAAUGAUUUUAUUUGAAAUUGCCUUGAUUUUGGUGAAAUCGUGCAAAAAAGUGCAUGUUACACUUACAAUGAAUUUUUUUGCCUACAAAUUAAAAUGUUGAUUUCUUACUUUUCAUGAGUGUAUUUUGUGCAUUUGGGUAUAUUAUGACUUCAUGAAUGUAUUGAGCAUGUUGAUAUUUGUUGAAAAAAACUUUGGCAUAAUGAAUAAGAAUGUAAUGAAUGUUAAACUCUUAUGAGCUGAAACUGAUGUUUUCAGUUGUAUUGUGUAAAAGGUCAUGUACAAUGAUGAUUUUUAUUGUGACUCAUGUUUUAUUAUGUUGUUGUUGGUUUGACUGGUAGUCUUGAUUCUAUUGCUUCCUUUUAAAGUAUUUUAGUGUCAAUCAGGAGUAAAUGUUAUAAGGGUGGGAUAAUGUAAUACUCCAAAAUCCUAAAGCCUGCUCUAGAGCCUAAUAUGAUAAUUAAGAGUUGUGACACUUUUUUAAAGUCAAUUAGAAUCAUAUAAGUUAUUUAUGGAGUUCUAGAAUCAAAAUAUCCAGGAACAUCCAUGACAUCCGUAAACUAGUUCAACAGGUGAUAGUGUGCCUUACCCUAUCUGAAUAAGUUUUACGAGUAGGAAAAUGAUGAAAUUGGGUGUUAAGGUGUCUAACAUGUAUUAGAUUUAGUUUAUAGUCUAAACGGUCGGGUACGACUCCCCAAGUACUAACCAAGGUCCCUUGAGGAGGACCCUUGCAAUUUGGCAAAAAGAGGCCAUGAGGGAGUGUCUAUCGACGGACUACAGGCGACGAGGCAUUGGUGAAUCGAUGGGACAUCUAUUCCUCCAUAAAUGAUUGAAAAUUUCUUGGUAUGUCAUUUUUUUCAAAUCUCUGACCAAAACCACGGAUGUGCAGCAUGGAGGCCACACUGCCAGUCGACUGACCUACGUCCUCUCAGUGGAGGUCUGGUAGGUCAAGUCUGUGUGUUGCUAUUUUGUUUACUUAAUUCAUUUAAUUAGUUAAGUGGUUAUUUAGUUAAUUAAGGGUUACGGAGGUUCAAUUAAUUUAAAUAAUUUGUAUAUAAAGACUUAGCUAAUAAAACUAAGCCUAACUCUCAUAAUUCCCCAAACCCAAUUUUUCUUCCUUCUCUCUUCUCUCUUCUCUCUCUCUCCCAAAGAAACUCCAUAGAAGACCUAGAAAGGAGGCAUAUAGGGAUUCAAGGAGGUUUUUUUAUCCAUAAAACAAAAUCAAUUAGUAAGGUAUGGGAUUUCUUUAACCAUCGUGAUAUCUUUCCCCAAAGGGUUCCUUUAAAUUGAUUUCAAAAAAAACAAAUUCAAGUGAGUUUUAUUCUAUUACGAAAUUUAUCUUGUGAAUUGCUUUGUUUAUGAUUAAUUUUAGUUAUUAUGAGUAGAUUAACAUGUAUUAUGCUUCCAUUAUACUACUUCUUGAUGAAUUUACCUAGUUUAUGGAAAAUGGCCUUUCCCCUUUAACCCUAGGUUGUGAUCUUGAAUUGAAGUAUCUAGUGUUUAUAUACUUGGCUUAGUUAAUGUGUGGUUUACUAUUAUAUGUUGUUAUUAUGUCAAUGUACGAGUAGAUUCUGAUAUUUGGUAAUACAAUUAUGCUAGUUCUUGAAUAACUAACUUAGGUUGUGAAGUAGAUAAUGAAUUUGACCUAAUCCUCUAACCCGAAGCUAUGAACUAGUGAUUAGUUGUUGUGUAGUGAUUUCAAUUGACUUUAUUAUAAUGUUGGUUACUAUUGUGUGAUGAUAUUACACCAUUGUUGGAUUCAAUUGGAUGGUUGAUAGUAUGACCUUGAUGAUGGCUUGUGAAAGAGGUUGGUUAUAGUCUUGUGAUCUCAAUUCUGUACUUCAAUUAUUACUACUUGUGAUUAAGUAUUGAUGUUAUAUUUAAAUAUACUUUAUGUUAAUAUUGAUAGGGUUAAUAUGAUGUUGAAUUGGAAUGUCUUGAAUUAUUGUUUUUUAGUUGUUCGCUAAGAUGUAAAUGUUAUAAGGAAGGUGAUAACUUACCAAUGUACCUUAUCAUGAUGUCAUUAUGUAAAUGUGCUAACCUCAAAUGUAUAAAUUGUAGUGAAAUUAAAUUUCUCAUGUAAUUCGUAUUGAGCUAUGAUGAUGAUUAUAUAAGGGAUAGACCCUACAACCUACAGAAGCUAUGAUCAUUAAUGAAGGCAUUAAAGACAUUUCAAAAGGGACUCAAGCUUAGAACCGAAUGAACUACAGUGGGGAGUGUCCCUUCCAAUAUAGGGAAGUUAGGAUAACUAAUUUACUCAUGAGAUUGGAGACUAUAAUGCAUGUAGCAUACAUGAGUUCCCAAUUACAUCUACUAGUUCUUUAACUAUGCCGCCCCCAUAGGAAUACUAGCUAUUGGAUCCUUAUAGAAGCUAUGUUCAUGUUUUGGGACUACCUUGGUAAGUAAUUCGCCUUCUUUUAGUGUAGGGUUCCAUGACACCGGAUUUCGCAUUAGCUCAUGUGGUCUAUGUUGUUUAAGGCAAGAUGUUCCCAAAAGGUAAAAUGAAGUAAUAAAGUGAACAAUAACUAGGAUGAACUAUAACUAUAAUGUUGUGUACUCUUAAUGAUAUGUUAUGUGAAGUUGGACACUAUUUAUGGUUCUUGUCAGGUUAGCAUGAUUGGAGUGAGGUUAUAGGGAUUUGCUUAGUCAUUGCACUAGUGGACUUGGUGAGGGCUUAUGAGUAAUGUUCUUGCUUAGUUUAUGAUGUUAUGAACUCUUAUACAUGCUUGUUGAUAAUAUAACUUGAUGAUAGAGUUGUCUUUGUUAUGUGCUCAAUUAUGUUGAUGCGCAUGUUGACUUUACUAGACAUAGUAUGGUUGGUCUUGUGAUGUACAUGGUCUUGAGUUAAUGAAUGUGUAUAAUUGAAUUGUAUUAGUUCUUGAAUGUUAAUAAUACUUUUCAAAGAAAUUAUGCAUGCUUUAAUGAAAUGUCCCUUUUUAGCAUGAUUCUAUGUGCAUAUGGUCUCAUACUUAGUACAAGUGAUGUUCUAAACCUAUUUCUCCCUUUUUCCCCAACAUUUUAGGUUCCGGUCAUUGAAGGGUUAAUGAUGAUUUUUGAAGAAAGACUUGUAUCCUCAUUCUCCAAUUUGGGUAGGUCCUCACUACAUCAAGGACAAUGCAACUUUCUAACAUUGAAUGUUUAUUAGUCUUAAAGACAACUUGGUCAUUUCCUUUCAUUUGAGAACUAAUGAUUGUAUAGCCUUUAUGUGGCUUUUAUUUUAUUCAUGUAUGGUCUAUGACCAAUUGUUAUAAUCUUCUUUUGAUGGUGAUUAGAUGAGACAUCUUUUUUAAGACUAUAUAUUUAUAUGUGUCAUAAUAGCAGAAGACUAUGUAAUCUUCUUCUACGAAGGGUCUAUGUAUAAUUGAUAUGAAUAUUUAUUUUUUGUAUGCAAGAGGUUUAUGUAAAUCUCAUGAUAGAUACAAGAAAAGUUUUAAAUUUUCCACAUUUUUAACAAAUGAAUUUGAUCAUCUAAGCUAAAAUUCUAGCCUUAGUUUUCUUCGAGGACUAACGACUCCGGUUACGUCUAAGGGGUGCUACCCGAAUGUGACACUUCCAUUGAACUUUCACUGACUUAAACUCCUUGGUCCUAAACAUAUGCAUAUCACAAAAAAGAAUAGGAAUAAGUUCAUCCUUAUAUUGAAGGUAUUUGUCAAAUACAAUUGAGUCCCACUUAAUGAUAAAUUUUCCAUCACCCUAAUAUCUCUUCAAUAUAGACAUAUGGAAUAAUGGAUGAAAACAAGAUAUGUUAGGGUGUAGAGAAAAUCUAUAAACCACCGUCCGAUAUCAAUAUAUCAUGGACUUAACUUAUCCUUCUUACCAAAUCUCAUCGCCCCUUUUCAUGGGUGAUACCUUAAGAAGAUUGUUCUUACCAGUAUGAAAUUGUAUGUCUCUUACCUUAUUAUCUACAUACUUCUUCUAUCUACUCUGGGCUGCUAGAAGUUUUGUUUGAAUUCUCUCAAAGGUUUCACAACUCCAUCUCAAACCAACCUAUAGGUGAUCUACAUACCAUAUAAUUCCUCAAACUGUGUCAUAUUAAUACCGGAGUGAUAACUAUAAUUAUAGGAGAACUCACACAAAGGUAUGAAUUUAUCCCAAUGCCCUUCAAAAUCGAUUAUGCAUGCUCUCAACAUGUCUUUCGAAACUUGAAUAGUCCUUCUAGAUUUUCCAUCCAUUUAUAGAUUAAAGGUUGUACGAAAAGUGAGUUGUGUUCCUAAUUCUUCAUGCAAUUUCCAUCGAAACUUUGAACUGAAUUAAGUACCAUGAUAUGAGAUCAUAUCAAGGGGCAUACCAUGCAUCCUUACUAUCCAUUUCACAUAAAUCAUAGUUAGUUGCUUAAUAUUAUAAUCUAUUCUUAUUUGGAAUAAAAUGGGUUAACUUGGUCAAUCUAUCAACCACUACAAAAAUAGAAUUGAACUUCCACAAAUGUCUUGGGAUGAACAACCACAAAAUCCAUAUCUAUUCCUUACCACUUCCAUUAAAGAACUGACAUUUUUUUAAGUAAACAUGUAGACUUGUAUCCUCAUACUUCACUUCUUGACAAUUUUCACACUGAAGCACAAACUCCUCUAUGUCCUUCUUCACGCCCGACCACCAAUUAAUUGAUUUCGGAUCUCUAUAUACCUUGGUAACACUUGGAUGAAUAGAAUAUUGACAACCAUGAGACUCUGCCAACAAUUUUUGAAUCAAGUCAUCAACUUGCGGAACACAAAUUCUUCCUUUACACUGUGUACACCAUCCGCAUCAAGAGUGGCCUUUUGUACUUUACCAAUCACCACUUAGUCCUUGACUUUGUUCAAACAUUCAUUCUAUGAUUGUUCGACCUUGAUAUCUUCAAUGAACAUGUCCUUAACUUCAAUGCUCACUGAUACCCCGCCUCUUUCUGAGAUGCUCAACUGAAAUGAAUUUAGACUAUAAGAUCUAAAUUUUUUUGGACAAUGGUUUCUUGGUUACACUUAAUCUGUCUAACCUACCCAUACUUACCACAUUUUGACUCAAAUCAUCUGCCACCACAUUAGCGUCACUCGAAUUUACUUAAUGGUAACAUAAUUAUCCUUCAGUAACUCCAUUCGUAUUUGUUGUCAUAACUUUAGAUCAUUUUGAGUGAAUUCAUGCUCUAAACUAUGAUGAUCAAUAAAUACCUCAUACUUUACACCGUAAAGAUAGUGCCUCUAGAUCUUAAGAGCAAAUACUACCGCAUCAAGAUCAAAAUAUUGGUUGGAUAAUUUCUCUCAUGCACCUUCAAUUGGCGUGACACAUAGGCUAUGACAUUCUUAUACUGCAUUAACACAACACCAAAUCAAGAAUGAGAAGCAUCAAAUAAACUAUGAAAACCUUACCUUCCACCAGUAAAACUAGGAUAAGUCUGUUGGUCAAAACAGUAUUGAGCUUUUGAAAUCUCUCUUAAAAACUUAGUCCAUUCAAAUGGUGUUCCCUUUUUGGUAAAAUUAGUCAAGUAAGUGCAAAUGGAAGAAAAAUUCUUCGCAAAUCGGUGACAAUAACUAGCGAGUCCCACAAAACUCCUGACUUCUAUCACAGAACUAGGCCGAACCCAAUUCUAAACCUCCUCAAUCUUUUGAGGAUAAAAUAUUGCCUCUUAUUUUGACACUAGGUGUCCCAAAAAUGCAACUGAUUUUAACAAAAAAUCACAAAUAGAAAAUUUAGCAUAUAACUUUUUCUUCCGAAUAACACCUAAAAUAGUACCUAUGCUAUCUUCAUUAUUUGAACUUACCAAACUAUCAUGAAUUAACACUAUCACAAAGGAUUCAAGAAAUGUUUUUAAUCCACAUUCAUCAAUCUCAUGAAAGUUGCAGUCUCAUUGGUGAAACUAAAAUACAUAACCAAACACUCAUAAUGCUGAUAGUGAAGUCUAAAUGUCUUCUUAGGCACAUCUUCUGAUCUAAUUUUAAAUUGAUGGUAGCAGGACAUUAGAUCAAUGUUAUAGAAAAACGCCUCCCCUUGCACUUGGUCAAAGAGAUCACCUAUCUAAGGCAAAUGAUAUUUAUUUUGAAUAGUAACUCUAUUUAAUUAUCUAUAAUCUAUACAUUCUCGUGCUACCAUUUUUUUCUCUUAUAAAAAAAACUUGAGCACCCCAUUGGGAAGAACUAAGGAAAAUAAAUCCCUUCUAAUGAAGCUCUUGAAUUUGAGGCUUAAGCUCUUUUAAUUUCGCCUGAGCCAUGUGAUAUGGAGAGAUAGAAAUGGGGACUGUACCAGUCUCGAAAUCGAUUCAAAAAUAUUUAUCCCUAUCCAGAGGCAUACAAGUCAAAUUAUUAGGAAACAUUUCACCAAAUUCAAACACUAUAGGAUUGGACCCGAUGGGUAGUGCCACAAUCUCAACAUUCCUAAUAUGACAAAAACAAGCCAAACAACCUUGCUUUACUAAUUUAUUAUCCCGAGUGGACGAUAUAAUCCUAGCUUGCUUAGGCUUGUCAACCACUUGCCACUGUAAUUUUUCCCUUCCUGGAAUUUCUACAGUUACAACUUAGUAUUACAAUUAAGCACAACAUAAUAGUGGGACAACUAAGUCAUGCUUAAGAUUAUGUAUAAGUCAAUCAUAUACAAAAUAAUUAAAUCACCCAAGUCUGAAAACCCAUAAACAUGAUAGGACAAACACGAUAAAUAUGGGUGACUAUGAAUGAUGAUCCAUCAUGGGUAGAAACACAAAUUGGAGCAACAAGAAUAUCAUAUAUUGUAUCAAACUAGGAGGCAAAUCGCACAGAUACAUAAUAAUAAGUGGAACCCAGAUCAAAUUACAUAUUAGACAUCUUGUAACACAUAAUAAUAGUAUAUGUGAUUAGAACGUCGGAUGCCUUUGCCUCCAUUUUUUACCAGAAAAGCAUAACAUUUAUUUUUAUCAUAAAUACGAGCCAUCUCCAUGGUUGGUUACGCAUUACCCGUACCUACGUUAUGAUUACUAUUUCCUUGAACUCCACAGCCUCUCUGAUAACCUUCUCGCCCACCUUGUGGAAGUCCUUUACAAUUAUUACAAUUUCCCAUAGGUACAACUACUCUAUAAGGCUUUUGCGUGAACUCAAAAACACCCGGAUAGGACUAUAUCUUCUCUUGUCCCCAAGUUGACACAGUUGUACAAGAAAUGAUCACAAGAUAGUCUGCUGCCCAUCACAGGGAUGCCAUUUUACUAUUUCGAAAAUUAGGAGGUGGAGUUACGAAGUAGUUACUUAAAGAGGCGGGCAUAGCAGACUGAAUUAUCUUGGCCGCAAGUGUUGGCCUUUCAGAACUCUUAGAGUAAGACACUUGAAAGUUACCAACUUUUUUCCAAUUUUUGCCCAAGCCAUUACAUAAAUUUGUUGCAUUACCCUCUCACUUUCUAACAUAGUCUCUCACCUCAUUAAAACUCCUCGCUACAUGAGUCAUAUGGAAAUAUAAUACUUGCAAGUCAAAAUUUACACCUCUAAUAAAUAACUGGAUCCUCUCUCCUCUUUAUUGAACAAUUUCAUACCAUAUCAGGAUAAAACAUGAAACUUGGCCUCAUAAGAAGCAAAUGAUAUACCACCUUUGUCUAACAACAUUAACUUAUCCUUCUUGCCAUCCCUCUAUGUACUAGGCACAUACUUUUCUAGAAAUAAAGCAUGAAGUUGUGCCCAAGUAAGUCGAGUCGAUGUAAAAGAUCAGCACUCCAUAUAAUCCCUCCACCACUUCUUGGCCUCACCAAGAUGUUGGAAAGAGACGAACUCAACUCCAUGUUUGUGAUAAUACCCAAUUUAUGUAGCCUCUCAUAACAGCCUAAGAAAAACAUACAUGCAUCUUCAGUCUAAGAAUCAUGAAAUAAUGGGGGUUUAAUAUUUAGAAACUUAGUCAAUAUAUCAUGCUUGUUCCCAUUCACAACAGAACACAACAAAAAAUGAAAGAAUGCAUCAGCACCUACAUUCCACCCGUCUUAGGCGCAAUUCUAGCACUAGGAAUUUGGGGGAGCUUGAGUUGGUUGACAAUAUGUAACCACUCCAUGACAAGCCAACCCUUACAAGAACACUAUAAUCUGGUGAGCUAACAAUGGAUCGAUGGGAGGAACAACCGUAGUUUUUGCUGGCACUUCUUCCUCUUGUCAAUUUUCCUCAACAUCUUUAACCUCAAUAUCCUCUUUUACCUCCUCAUUAAGUGUAGAAGGGUUCUUAUACAUAGGAACAUUACCAAUAAGUUCCUCAUUGAAAGUAGACGCUACUCUCCCACGACAUCUAUACCUAGAUCUUAUUCUAUGUCUACCUUGAUUGGGACCUAUCACUGCAGAUUCAUCAGCUAGAGCAUUGACAUGAUAUAUGGACCUAAUACUAUUAUACCUAGUAAAAUACAAGAAAAAAAUUCUUGAAAGAGGGGAAAUAUGGUCCUAGAUGAGCAUUUGAGACCUGAAAAGUAAGGUUGAUUCCCUUCCUUAAUGCAUCCUUCACUAUCACUCAAAAAUGACGAUAUUAAAAAGCCUGUCGCUAAAGGUUUUGGAGACGGGGAUCCUAUCUGGUCACGAAGUACCUUUAGGGACGUUAAUUCUGGUCAAAUUGACCAAAUAUACUUUGGAAAUAUGUUUUUCAUUUCGUUAAAACACUAUAACAGCCAGAAAAAACUAGUCGUAAUCAUGAUUAGAGAUGAUAUUUAUCUGGUCUUAGUAAUCCCUGGAGACCAUUAAAGACCUUUCCUUAGAAUUGCUUUAAUGAUGAGUACUAUUUGGUCUUAGAAAUACCUUAAGGGACUCACCAACCUUUACUUCGAAUACAUUUGGAGACCAUCAACAACCCCGUCCCCAGAAUAGCAUUACACACGACCAACAAGCAUGGUUAAAGCUUUGCCUUAAAAUACCAACAAUAAUUCUUGUCCUAGUUUGACCACAAUACAUUUCAACAAAAAUAGAAUGGCUACUAAAAGUUUCACUACGAAUAUAAUAAUAUAUGGAAGAGACGGAGACAUCAAGACAUAUAUUAAGUAAGUAGUUCAUUGCAAUAAACUAGUUGACAUCCAUGACAUUUGAUUCAAAAUUUGUUUAACAAAAACACAUAACUAACAUCCUAGUUAGACUAACAUAAAGUUUUGCAUUAAAUUUGUAGCAAACUAAUAGUGAUCUCAUCCAUUUUCUUCUAAACUUAUAUCUUGGACACAAGAAUGAACAUAAACUAGGAAAAAGAAUAAAAGUUCAAUUCUUCAUAGAGUGUUAUCAAGAAACAUCAACAAAAGCUGCGAGAAAAUAAGAAAAAAAAAUCCUUUCUAAAAAAUUAGAUUUGCUUUAACCGAGAAUGUCAUAUCGAUAUAAAAGAUUUACAACUAAAUAUAUAACAUUUGAUAGAUAAUAAAAAAAUAAAAACAAUAGCUUUGGAGACGAGCAGAAUGAAAAAUAAGUUGGGCAAGAACAACUGCAAUGAACGAAAUAAAAUAGGGCCAAAGUCUCUAGUGUGAAAUAAACAUCAGCUGAAACUAACUGACAAGGUAGCACACAAAACCCACUUUUUAUACUAAUAUUCUCCUCUUAAAAAUGUAUCAAACACCUUAUUUGCCUUGAAAAGGUAGCAGAAAAAGGAAAGACAUUUGUAGUUGUACGCUGUUGAGGGAGUUGAAAAAAGUUGGGGAGCAUCUGUUUCUGGUUGUUAUUCGAACAUUUUGUCUAGUGUUACUGAUGAUUUUACCUAGUUCAAUGACACAUUUAUAGUCAUUGCAAGUGACAUUCGUAACCUUUUUUCUCUACAAUCAUUUCUUAACAUCCAAAGUAGUUAAUAUCUUCACUUUUAAUAUCCUAAUGAAUAAAAAAGAUGAUAGAUUUUUUGCAAACCAAAACUUUUUUAUGAUGUUUUACGUAAUUUUUACAGUUGAGACAAACGAUAUUGUUUUAGAUGCAGAAAACAAUUUGAAUCUCAAACAAUCUCGGCUAUAGUCACUGUUGAUAAGAAACCACAACAAAUUUUAACGUGAAUAUUGCAACUUUAUUCAACUUAAAAACAUCAACAGGAAAUUGCGACAUAAUUUCUUUGGAAGGUUUAAGAGAAGGCGUAGCAGUAGCAUGAGCCAAAGCCCUUUGAGGCAUCUCAACUAUGAAGACCGCUCUCACAAGAGUCAUAUUAGAAUCUAUGGUGAAUCAUAUCAUCAUUCUAAGAUUUUUGAGAAGGGUGAAAGGAUGUACAAUCCUAACCACAAUAGGGAUCCAAUUAGGAGUCCCGGUGGCAGGAGAGAUUGAAUUUCAGUUAGGGAUGGCAUUAAUGAGAGGCGUGCAAGAAUGGGUCAAUGGAACCGGGAAAAAGAAUAGGGAAGAACUCGAUAACAUGGAUACUGCAGAGAGUAAUUACAAAAAUGGCAGCAAUAAAUAUGAAUUUUCUCCAAACCAAGAUAAGUAUUAUAACAAUCAAUGAAAAUGAUGUGCUGAUGGAUAAUACAUGAAAAUACCAGGCUAGUUGUGGAGUGAAAGUCAAAGUCCUACUGACGAAUGUCUUAAUCUGAUUAGAAAUACGUACAUAACCUAUUUGAUUGUAAAUAUCUACAGCCACCACCGCAGAGACCAAUUAAGAAGAAGUUAGUUGGAGAAGAAUAUCAAUAUAAACUAAAGGGAUGGGCAAAUUGGUUGUACAAUAUGGAAAAGGAACAUUUAACCAACAGAUAGUAGAGGAUGAGAAAUUCAUACAUACUAUGAGGCAUAUCUAUCAGCUGAGGAAUGAAAAUCCUUCAUAUAAUAAAAUAAAGUCGGGUAUAUUGUUACUUAAAUGGUCAAUAGAAAUACAAUUGUCAUUUUGCUGGAAGAUGAUUGUUGAGCAGCAAAGAGUUCUUUCAUUUCAAUGUUUAUUUCAUCGCAUCUUCUAAGGUAGACAAACGAUCAUUCAAGGAUUUGUUUUUCUCAUUCAAGAAUUUGUUGUCAUCCCGAGUUGAACGUAGAGUGGACAAUAUUUCAGCAUUUGAAGAAGUCCCACCUUUCAAAUCUUUUGCCUUUAUUCAACCACCAAAUCAGAACACAUGGCUACGAGUUUGUGGCCCACAACAUUUUUCAACAAUCUCUAUAAUAGAUGGGGAAGGAUAUUCCAGGACUAUUUCCUCAAGUUGAGCAUACAAAAUAUUUAAAAGUACAUUUUCAAUCAAAACACCACAAUUUUUUGCUAACAACUUACUCAUUUCAUCAAAGAUACAUGUUUUUCAAUUUCUUUAGAUUCCACAAGCUUGUUAUCUUUCUUACGGAUCUUAAAGAAAAUAGUCGACAAAUCUGGUGGAUUUCCAUCUUUCCCACCCUUUACAUCAAAUUCAAACAAGUCAAAUAAGAAAACCCUCGUAAUACUCCGUAAAGGUAAAUAGUUUUUUAACAAGAUCUUUUGAUAAAUAAUCUCUUGAAUAGGUUUGCUACGAAUACGAUGGAGCAUCUUCUGCUUAGAUCGGUUUUUUGCAUUCCUAAUUUUUCUGGCAUGUAUUUGUAAAAUGAUAAACUUAAUAAUAAUAGUUAUAACAAAAUCAUUAAAACAUAACACGUCUCAUUGCUGAACAAGCUUCAAGUUUGUUUCCUAGUAAUAAACAUAAGUAGUAUGCAUACCUUAAAACUUUCAGAAGUAAAAUGUUCUUUUACAAAUGAUUCCCAUUCUUUUUUGUCUGCUCCCCUUGAGAUAAUCUUAAGAGUGUUAUAAUGGCUUAUCCCUCACAUAUUUUGCAUAUAAGUUUCACUCCCAAAGCUACCAAGGCGCGAACAUAGAACUUAGGACCACAAGUGAUCCUAAGAUAACCAUGUUGGCAUGAUCAUGAACAUAUUAUAGAUAAUAAACUUAAUGAGGAAUCUAUGUCAUAAUUUAAAGUGAAAGGAUGGAGAAUACCCGUAUUUCAUAACUGAGAUAUAUGAAAACAAUGGGUUUAAUAAAAUGGAAAUAUUAACUCAAUACUAAUCUAUAACUAAGCAUGUUUGAAAAUAGCCUCUAAACUGACUAGAAAUUGUGGGACAGGCCCCAACUAAUUCUAGAGAAAACUGAAACUAAAUGAUUAAAAUAUUUAAAGAAACUCAUGACUAUUGUCCUUGGAGAAUGAAAACUCACCACUGAAUCUGAUGAAUUAGAGAUCGGGAAUCUAUCUAUGCGUGAACUUGAUGUUGAGAACCUAAACCUACAUCACGAGAAUAUGUAGCGCACCUAUGUGUCAUAACUUGAAGGUACUGAGCAUGUAGGAUAGAUUAAAGAUGAAAUAAAACAUAACAAAACAAGCAUAAAAGCAAGUAUAAUAAUCUGAAUAUGAUAUACUCAAUUAUAAGCUAGUUGGAUACAAAUACCAAAUUUUUAACAAGAUGAGACUGAAUAAUAACUGAACUUUGAAUAUGGUCAAUGCAUUGGAGAGUCUGACUAAACUGUGGGAGCAACUAAUAACUGAUAAUAAAACCACAUAAGCUAAAUAUGGAUUUCGAUGUAUACAACCCACCGAGAGGACCAAAUAAACCCGGCCAGAGCUAUAAAGGCAUGUUGGCGUGAUCACUAAACUGAUUAACCACUCCCAAUAAAUAGAGUGUAUAAGACAUUAUGACUGAAUUUAUGUAAAUACUUGAUAGCUCAAAACUGAACAUGCAAACUGAGACCGCAACAAUUAAUAUGCUAAUAAUGCAUUUAUAACUAAGGCAUGUAUAUCUGAAGUAAUUGAAACAUCUGACCUAGCAUGUGUAAAUAAAGAACUAAAGAAAUACAUAUCUAGGGUUUUUUAAUUCAUGAAGUAAUCUGAGUAAUAACAUGAUAAUCUGAUUCGGAACAUAUAAAAAAUUACUUCGUGAAAUUUUGUUGAUGUUCUAGAAACUCUACAUCUAAUCAUGAUAUGGGACAUAAGAAUUUGACUGAAAAUUAGGGAUCCCACAUACCUAGUGAUAAAAUCCUUGGAGAAAUAUUUAGAUUUCAGGGAUGGAACUGCUGGAACCUUUUUGCCUUUUUGAACCAGGGUUAGUCACUUUUUUAUCCUUCCUUGCUUCUAAUUUUCUAAGUUUUGAUUUAUGAUUUUGUCUUAAGUAAGUUUUAGUUAUGUUUCUAGGCUUAAACUUACUAAAAUCUGAUUAUUUAGGGUCAAAAUGACGUAUCUUAGGGUUUAAAAAAGUGGGAAAAGACCACAAGACACCUGAGUUAGUUGCUGUUGGACCAAACAAUGAUCUGGACUGACGGGUCGUAGUUCAAUUGGCAAUCGAAAAUUUUGGGUCUGUAGGUUGGGUCUGUUCAACAGGACUUUACUAAAACGAGAAUAACUUUUUACUUGGAGGUUUAAUUUUAACAAACUUGAUGGAUAUGGAAAGGUGAUUCAAUUAUCUAUCAUUUAAUAGGUCAUAGGACACCUAAUUCAUUUUGUGCUAUGAGUUGUAAUCAUUUAAUGUUCACCCAACUGGAUUUUCCCCUAACUGUCUCCUAAUUUCCACCUAUGGUCAUACCUACAGUCCGUAGGUCAAUCUACGAACUGUGAUGGUCAAUGGUGGUUCUUGUCAGAGGGUGGAUAAAUAUGAUCUUCAUCAACGGAUAUUGACUACGAACCUUAGUCUAUAACCUACAGACCAUAGUUCCGUCCGUCGUUCGACACAUAGUUAAAAUUUUUGUGCUGCGUCUUAGGGGAUUUCACUCACAGUCGGUGGAUAUGCAACACAGGCCGUGGGUCAGGAUACGGUCUUCGAUGGUAACCGUCAAUAGCACCCGAAGAUUUCUGAAAAGCUAAUUUUUGGGCUGUUUUAGAUACAAGGUAUUACAAUAUUUCCCCCUUGGGAACAUUCUUCCUCGGAUGAAGACUAAAUUAGCUGAAAUAGAGGGAUAGGGUUGCAAUCCCUACUGCUAAGCACUGAGAACUGAGUUUCUUACUGAAUUGAGUUACAAAAAGAUGCAAAUACACUGAAAAUGCAAGUACAAAUUGAGGGAACAUGAUUCUAAGGCUGAAUUCACGCAUGAAUAACUGAAAAACUAAAGAUCAAGUAUUACCUUAAGAUGGAGUGGAAUCAGAACCAAAGAAUGAGGAUACUUGGUUUUCAUGGCUACUUCUGCUUCUGAAGUAGCUCCCAAUACGUACUAACUCCUCCACAAAACCUUGACUGAAGAUACUUCAUUAUUUCUCAACCUUUUAAGCUAACGGUAAAGAAUCUCAAGAGUGAGAUAUGGAAGACCGGAUGUAGUGCUGCUAAUUCUGCUGGCAAUUAUAGCUCAUAUGCCACCUUUGUAACCCUUUUCAAGAUCUUGUAAGGCCCUACAUAUCUAGGACUGAGUUUUCCAUUCUUGUCAAAUCAUAUCACUCCUUUCAUAGGUGACACUUUCAGGAAAACCCAAUCAUCAACUUGGAACUCUAGUUCCCUUCUCCUUACAUCUGCCUAAGACUUCUGACGACUCUGGCCUGUGUUGAGUCUCUAUGUAAUGAGUUUCACCCUCUCCAUAGUAUAAAGGACAGAAUGUGGAUCUACCAAAGAUGCUUCAGCUUCUUCGAACCAACAAAUAGGAGAUCUACAUCUACGCUCAUACAGUGCCUCAUAAGGGGCCAUCUGAAUGUUGGAAUUGUAGUUAUUAUUAUAGGUGAACUCAAUAAGAGGAAGGUGAUCAUCCCGACUACCUUUAAAAUCAAUCACACAAGUUCUCAACAUAUCCUCUAGGGGCUGAAUGGUAAGCGUUGCCUGUCCAUCCGCAUGUGGAUGAAAUGUUGUGCUAAGAUUAACUUGAGUACCAAGACCCUUUUGAAAUGACUUCCAUAAAUGAGAGGUAAAAUGAGGAACCCUAUAUGAGAUGAUAGACAAAGGAACUCUUUGUAACCUCACAAUUUCAUUAAUGUUAAUCUUGGCAUAGUCCUUUGUCGAAUAUGUAGUCUUGACCGCCAAAAAGCAAGAUGACUUCGUCAUCCUAUCCACUAUCACCCAAAUGGUGUCAUACUCUCUGCGAGUACGAGGUAACCGUGUGAUGAAAUCCAUAUUGCUCACAUCCCACUUCCAAGUAGGAAUAUCGAUCUCUUGUGUCAUACCUCCUGAUUUCAGAUGUUCUACCUUGACUUGCUGUCAAUUGGGGUAAUUACUCACAAAAUCUGCUAUAUCCCUCUUCAUGCCAUUCCGCUAAUAUACUUCCUGCGGAUCAUGAUACAUCUUAAUGGCACCUGGUUGAAUAGAAUAUCUAGAGUUAUGGGCUUCUACAAGGAUAUUUAUUUUCAAAUCACCCACUUCAUGAACACGCAAUCUACCCUUGUAGCGAAGUACACCAUCUCCUCCUUGUGAGAAAACCUACACUCUCUGAUUGUGGACUGCACCCUUAAGUUCAAGCAAGAUUGGAUUACUUUCUUGCUUUUCCUUAACCUCCACUACCAAAUAAGAUUCUGCCCCAUUUUGAACUAUCACACCAUUUUUUGAUAUACUCAUAAGGCGAACUCCUAAAAGAGCAAGCUUGUGAACAUCGUUCACUAUCUCCUUCCUUUCUUCCUAAACAUGGUCUAACUACCCAUAGAAAAUUUGCUAAGAGCAUCUGUUACUACAUUCGCCUUACAGGAUGAUAAUGCACACUCAUAUCAUAAUCCUUAAGGAACUCAAGCCAUCUCUUCUGGCUAAGAUUCAACUCUUUCAGGGUGAACACAUACUGAAGACUUUUAUGAUCAGUGAACACAUAUACAUGAACACCAUACAAGUAGUGUCUUCAUAUAUUGAGUGCAAAACCCACUACUGCAAGCUCUAGGUCAUGGGUUGGAGUAGUUCUUCUCAUGAACCUUAAGUUGGUAGAAGCAUAAGCUAUAACCUUAUCUUGCUGCAUCAAUACACAGCCUAGGCCAUCUCUGGAUGCAUCACAAUAGCUAACAUAACCAUAUGAAUCCUCUGGUAGAGUCAACACACGAGUUAUAGUCAAUCUAGUUUUCAAUUCUGUAAAACUUUUGUCACAAUAAUCUGACCGUUGAAACUUCACCAUAUUCUGAGUUAAGCUAGUCAAUGGUGAGUCUACGAAUGAAAUCCUUCCAUGAAAAUUUUGUAAUAACCCGCUAGACCUAAGAAACCUCUAAUAUAUAGCAGAGGUAGGUUUGGGCCAUUGUUUCACUACUUCUAUCUUCUGUGAAUCUACUCAGAUCCCUUCGAUGGAUACAAUGUGACCAAUAAAAGAAAUAGAUUGCAACUAGAACUCACAUUUUGCUAAACUUAGCGAAUAACUGGCGAUCCUUAAGAGUCUGUAGAACAAUUCACAAAUUACUCACCUGUUCUUCCUCAUUCCUCGAGUAAAUGAGGAUGUCAUUAAUAAAGAUGAUAACGAACAAGUCCAAAUACUGUUUAAACACUCUAUUCAUCAAUUUAUGAAAGUUGCAGGGGCAUUGGUUAGUCCAAGUAACAUAACUACACAUUUGUAAUGACCAUACCGAGUUCUGAAGGUUUUUUUUUUGGAUAAUCACUAUCUCUCACUCUAAGUUGAUGAUAACCCAAUCUGAGGUCUAUCUUUGAGAAAUGGCUAGCUCCUUGAAGUUGGUCAAACAAGUCAUUAAUCUUGGGGAUGGAUACUUAUUCUUGAUUGUGACUUUGUUUGCCUGUCAAUAGUCAAUGCACAUUUUGAUAGAACCAUGUUUUUUCUUUACAAACAACACCAGUGCACAUUAUUGUGAACUACUAGCUCAAAUGAAGCCCUUAUUUAGAAGGUUUUUCAACUGCUCUUUAAAAUUCUUAAGCUCUAUUGGAGCCAAUCUGUAAGGAGGAAUAGAAAUAGGUUGGGUAUCUUGAAGAAGGUUGAUUCCAAAGUCAUUUUCCUUUUCGGGAGGGACUCCGGGAAGAUCUUCUCGAAAUAAUUCUAGAAACUCACAGACUACUAGAACGGACUGAAGAGUUGAGCUUCCAGAGCUAGAAUCCUUAACCAGAACUAGAUUAUAGAGAUAACCCUUAGAUAUCAUCUUUCUAGUAUUAAGGUAAGAUUUGAAUCGACCUAUAGGCGCUAAGCUACUACCUUUUCAUUCUAAGAUAGGUUCCUCUUGAAACUGAAAAUAAACAAUCCUAGUUCUAUGAUCAUCUUAGGAAUAACAGGAAUGUAAUCAGUCCAUGCCUAGAAUGACAUCGAAGUCUACCAUUUCUAACGUUACAAGAUCUACUGAGGUGACUUUCUGUGAGACUGUGACAGGGCUAUUUCUGUAUAACCGUCUAGCUAUAACUGGGUCAUCGACUGGAGUAGAUACUGACAAAGGUUCUAAGAGAUUUUCUAGACUGACACUUAAUUGUACUGCUAUGCAAGGAGUUACCAAGGAAAGAGUAGAACCGUGAUCUAACAACGCAUAAACAUGAAUCUGAAAGACUUAUAACGUACAAAUGACUACAUCAGGAGAAUUUGCUUGAUGCUCACAACCUUGAAAAGCAUAAAACUUGUUUUGGUAGUGACCGCCACUUGUACUAAAUGAGUUACCUUGAUGAGUUAGGCAACUUUCUGGUGUUGAUGAAGUUUUAGUUUGAGAUCUACCAUUACCACCCCUAUCUAGAAGGACAAUCCCUCAACCUGUUACCAGACUGACUGUACCCAAAGUAUCCUUCCUUUCCUCUGAGGCACUCGCCCGGAUGGUUCGUACUUUACUUGGGACAAGUGGGUAAGUAUUGGUGCCUGAAAUAAUCCCCUGGGACUUAGAGCUUUGUGGUCAAACUUUGUUCUUGAAGGAUGAAACACUAGCCGACGAAGGAGCUAGAGCUUAAAAAUUUUACUAACUCUACAAGCCAUUUCCACCACUCGAUUUCUGCCGAGAAUAGUCAUAUUUCCUAGUCUUAAUCUUCUUAUUCUCAUUAGCAUUUUCCGUAUGCUUAUCACCCUUAACCUGCUGAGCAUGACUCAUAUGCCUAGAGAUGUUCAUAUCUCCAAGUAACAUAGAACUUUUGCACUAAGUAUUCAUCAAAUCUGACACUUCAAACAAGAAAUUAUUCAUCUGAGCCGUGGAUUAAGCAACCAUGCGAGGAUCAUACCUGGAAAGUUUGUUAAACUUGAGCCCAUACUUUUCAUGUUUCCCUGCCUGAAGUUCAUGAAUUCCUGAGACUUUGCUUCUCACAACUCUAUUGGGAAAAACCUGUCCAUAAAGGUCUCACUAAAGCAAUCUCAACUAAUAAGAGUUGCAUCUGUACCCCUAUUUUCUUUCCACUAAGUGUACCAGAUAUGAGCAACAUCCUUCAACUGGUAUGAUGCAAACUCAACUCGAUCAUUCCCAGUGAUUUUCAUUACCUCAAUAUUUUCUUGAUCUCAACUAAGAAAUUCUAUGGAUCCUCAUUAGUUUGUGAUCCUAAGAACUCAGGCGGAUUCAUCCUAACAACAUCACGGACCAUUAGUGCUGCUGAUCCAUCAUGUGCAUUCACAGGAGCAUGAACCCGAUUGUUUUGGUUGGCCAUACUCUAAGCUAAGAGUUGUAUAGCUUUCUGAACUCAGCAUUGGAGACUUCCUGAUCUAUGAUCGGAGGAGUUGCGUUUGCAUUCUUGGCACUCGAAUUCCUAGCAUUAGCUCUAUGAGAAGUCAUGAUCUGAAAUGUAAAACAUCAAGUUAGAGUGGAAUAAGAUCAUACCUUACACAUGAUAAGAGUAUGAAGAAAGUGAAGUUUUCCUAAAACACUUUUUAGCCUCCCUCUCAUUAGAUGUAGCGCACUUCACACCCAUGAAAAAGACUAUACCUAGUGUAGCUUUUCAGACAUUCUAGGACACUUAAAGCUAGUGAUCUGAUAGUAAGUUUUGUUACACCACGAGCUACCUCUGAGAUGCGGACACGAAACAUAGGACCAUAAGUGAUUUUUUCGAAACUUAGGACCACAAGUGAUCCCAAGAUAACCCUACUAGCACAAUAAUGACCAUACUAAAGAUAAUAAACUUAAUACGGAAGCUAAGUAAUAAUUGAAAAUGAAAUGAUGGUGAAUACCUAGAUUUGAAAACAAUGGGUUUAAUAAAGAGGAAAUAUUCACUCAAUACUAAGAUGAAACUAACUAUAUCUGAAAAAAGAAACCGACUAGGAAUGUUGGGACAUGCCCCUCCUGUUAAGUCUAGCAAGAACUGAAACUAAAUGACUAAAUGAUUGAACAGAAACUCAUGACUAUUGUCCUCAGAGAAUGAGGAACCACCACUGAAUCUGCUGAACUGGAGAUCAGGAAUCGGUCUAUGGAUAAUCUGGAUUCUGAGAACCUUAACCUACAUCACGAGAAGAUGUACACACGUAUGAGUCAGUACUUAAGGGUAAUGAGCAUGUAGGAUAGAGUAAAGCUGAAAUAAAACAUAGCUGCACAAGCACAAAAACAAGUAUAAUAAUCUAAACAUAAUAUACUGAAUUUUAAACUAACUAGAUUCAAUGACCAAAUUUAUGACAUGCUGAAACUGAAUAAUAAUUGAGUUGUAAAUAUGGUCAAUGCAUUAGAGAGUCUAGCUGAACUUUGGGAGCUACUAAUAACCGAUAAUGAAAUCAUAAGAACUAAAUGUGGAGUCCGAUGUAUAAGCCCCAUCGAGAGGACCUAAUAUACUCGGCUAGAGGUAUAAAGGUAUGAUGGAGUAGUCACUAAACUAAUUUCCCACCAAGGGGACUUACAACAUACUUGGCUAGUAGUUCUAUGACUAAUUAGGUACGCUGAACCGUAGUCCAACUCGGUAUUAUGCUACUCCCAAUGAAUAAAGUGACUAAGACAUUAUGAUUGAAUUUCUGUAAAUACUGGAUAGCUCAAAACUGAACAUGCAAACUGAGAAUGCAAUAAUUCAUUUGGUAAUUAUGCAUUUAUAACUGAGGAAUGUAUAUCUGAUGUUACUGAAAUCUGAACUAACAUGUGCAAUUCAAGAACUAAGGAAAUACAUAGCUAGGGUUCUUAAAUUCAUGCAUUUAUCUGAGUAAUAACAUCAUAAUCUUAUUUGGAACACAUAACUAAUUACUCAUGAAGUUUUUUUGAUGUUCUUGAUAUCCUAGGUCUAAUCAUGAUAUGAGAAUGAAGAAUCUGACUGAAAACUUGGGAUCUAAUGGGUGAAAGGAACCCACUAGUGAAAUUCCACAUGCCUGGUGAUGAAAUCCAUCGAGAAAUAUUUAGAUUUUGGGGGCUAGAAAUGAUGGAACCUUCCUGUGUUCAUGAACUAGGGUUCUUGACAUUUUUCUCCUUUUUUAAUCUUAUUUUCUAUGUUUUUGAUUUAUGAUUUUGACUUAGAUCAGUUUCAGUUAUAUUUCUAGGCUUAAACUAACUAAAAUCUAAUGAUUUAGGGUCAAAAUGACGUAUCUUAGACUUUAAACGAAGCGGGAAAAUACCAAAAGAUCCAUGAGUUACUUGUUGUCAGACCAAAUGACGGCCUGGACUGACAGGCCGUCGUUCAAUCGACUGUCCAUUGUUUGGGUCCGUAGGUUUUGUCUGUUCAACAGGGCUUUAUUAAAAUGGGCAUAACUUUUUACUCAGAGGUUUGAUUUUAAAAAACUCGGUGGUUAUGGAAAGAUUAUUCACUUAUAUAUGAUUUCAUAGGUGUUGGAACACCUAAUUCAUUUUGUACUAAGAGUUAUCAUCAUUUAAAGUUGACCCAACUAAAUUUUCCCCCUAAUUGUCUACUAAUUUCCACAUAUAGUAAUACAUACAGUGCGUAGGUCCAUCUACGAACCGUGCUGGUCAAUCCUGGUUCUUGUCAGAGAGUGGUUAAAUGGGAUCUUAAUUGAUAUGGACCGUAGGUCCAUCUGUCAUUCGACACUUAGUCAUAUUUUCUAGGCUAUGUCUUGAGGGAGUUUCAGUUACAAUCGACGGAUGUGCAGAUCGGGCCGUGGGCAGGCUACGGUCCGUCGUUGAUAAUCAUCGAUUGCACCUGCAGAUUUUUUAAAAGAUAAUUUUUGGUCUAUUUUGGGUAUGGGGUGUUACAGUAAGUGUUCUCUUUAUUUGUUCCAUAACUCAUUCAUCUACCCCAAGAUAAGAGUGAAGGAGAUCAGAUACCAUUUUGAAACGAAAGAUACCAAUAGAAAUCAAGUAUUAGAAAGAGGGGAGACAAGAGGAUAACACAGAGAAUUUCUUAAGUCCUAUAAAAACUCAAAGAAAAGUAAAGGAAUCCCUGCACCAUUCUGUGAGACUCUAUUAGACUCAUUUCAGUACAUCGAGAUCAAUGAACCUAGGCUCCAAUACAAAUUUUGUACGACCUAGAUCAUCGUGAUUGGCACCCACACUAACACUCCUGUGGGAGAACCACUACUAAAACCUAAACUAAGAGGAUAACCUAAAAACAAAAUCGUUUAAUUUACGGAAUCAAGUUAAAUAAAUAAAGGUAGAAGUUUUCCAUACACUUAAACAAGGAUUUUAACUAACUAACUAAAAACAUGCGGAAGCAAACAACCUUGAACUUGAAAGGUAAUAAAUACAUCUAACAGUGAUCCAAGUUUAAACAAUAAAAAACUAAUGAACAAAUCAACUAACUAUAUCAAAUGUCUACGCCAAGAAAUAGUGGAGAUAGAAGAAAGAGAAUCCUAUGGCAGCCUUGAAAAGUUUGCUCACCUUUGAAUUCGAAGAAACGAUCAAUGAUCUUCUAAGAAAGAUAUGUCAAUGGUCACAUGAAGAUGCCUUAUACUCAACAAAUAUAAGAGGUAGUGUAGAAUAUGUACAGAACCACAGUGUAUUGGCAGGAUAACAUGGCUAUCCCACUAGUGCAAUAUAAACAAUUCAAACAAAUUUAUACAUGCAUAUAUAUCAACAUAUACAAAUAUUACCAACAUGAAUAAUCAAAAACGCAUUUCACAUUUUAUAUCACCACACUGGUCGUCUCAAGAACCUACUUCAAUCGUCCUCUCAUGGAACCCUAACCCAAAUAGUUAGUUUGUCUGAACGUGGUAGUCUGAUCUCAUAUUUAUAACGGAACGUCGCAAAUGAUCCCAUUAUUAUGCAACAACGUGCAAUAGUAUGUCAAAUCGUGGAAAUACGAUCGAAGUUAGUUCUGAAAGAACGUGGCAACAAAUCCCAUUCACACACCAAAAUAACAAUCAUAAGUACGUUAUCAAGAUCAUAGAAUUAAGUAUUGAGUUCAUGGUAAUAAUAAUUCACCUCUCUCAUUUACAACAAAUAUGAUCAACAUUGGAACAUUCAUAGAUAUACAGGUAUCAUAAUUAAAGCAGGAACAAGCAUAAAUCAAUCAAAUAUAGUAUCACAACAAUCACCUACCUUGAAACAAGCUUGAAACCUAAGAAACUUAAUCCUUCUCUUUCUGGAUUCGUUCCGCUUGUUCUUGACGUACACACAUUCAAUAUAAUAUGGGAAUCAAUAUCAAUCAUUACUUACCCGAAUUACUAACAAUUUCUAAAAACCCUAGAUCAAACUCAUGAUCCUAACUAACAAAUUUAGUGUUGUCUCCACCAUAAAAUUCAUAACCGAACCCUCCCCCGUCAAUAUUGUACAUUGUUUGACCUCAAGUCAAAGUGGGGUAUAACAUUAUAAAUAUUUUUACAAAUAAGGCAAAGUAGAUGCAGAUAUUGUCAAUAGAUGAGUUAAAUAGUACUAGAGGCUCAAAGGAGCAUACAAAAAUCAAAGCAUGAAUGCAGUUAGAAAAAGUGAGUAUUCGAAAUAAAAAGUGUUAAAUUCAUCAGUAUAAUUUAUUAUUUAACGAGGUAAUUUUCCUGCCUUCGCUACCAUAAAUAAUAAUUGCAUUUAACUUGCAAAUUUUAUUUUUUCUAAUUCUAUACAUUAAAUAUAUCGUAAAAUAAUUUCUUAAAAAUAUAUGCGCUAUUUCUACAUGAAUUUGAUUAUUUGUUAUUAUCACAUAGAUCAAGAACCUCUAAUGAAUGAACUAUUGACAAAAUAAUUAAUCAUUGGUUCCUUAAUAAACAUUAAAAGGAAAAUAAACAACUUCAAAAGUGUUGCCUUUAUAUGUCAUCUGAAGAAACACUUAUAAAGUAUGACGUUAUAUCUCAUAUAAUGCAAUACUUAUAAUGUGUAACUUUAUAUCUCAUCUAGAACAACAUUUACGAAUCGUAACUUUAACAUUGGACGUCCUACAUCAAUUCUUUUGAAUCACAUAUAUGCAAUAAAUAAUCACAAAAUUAAGUAUACAAGUCCCUAAAGCACAAAAUUAACUAAUAAUUAAAUCAAAGCUAUAUAUUUUAAAUAAACUUCGAGAAACAUGUGUUGCACAACGAAUCCUUAGAAAGUGAAUGCUUAAAGAUCUCUAAUAUAAUUAAAUUUAAAAAAAAUCAAAUGCAUUCAAAGACAUAUGACAAUAGUAGAAAAGGUCUUCAUCGUUCACUACAAUAGAUCUAGUUUACUUCUGAUCACAGUUCAAAGUCAAUUACCGACAUUUUCCUACACAUUCAAAAUAAAUUUAUAAGUUAGUGAAAUAAAUAUGUAAGUGAACAUAAAUAAUUAAAAGAAAUCAUAAUGAAAUGCAUUAAUGUAUGCAUAUAUGUCGAUUCAAAUGUAUAUCUCGGCCCCACAAAUACAAGUAUGCAUAUAGCCAAUCUGUAAGCAAUUAAGAUUUAGCUAAUGUGCAUUCAUUCUUGUACGUAUUAAUAAAAGAUAAUGCCCGUCUAACAAAUAAGCUUCCAUAAGAGGAACAUUUUUGUCCAUGUGAUACGGAUCAAUCUACAACAAAGUGCUUUUACCUACAUGAACAUAACAGGUACAUCAAUUUGCAACAAGAACUCAUCUCAUGUUGCACCAUUUGCACUCUGAAAGAUUUGCAACUAGACUUAUAAAAGAGAUUUUUUUAAAUGACUGUAUAUAUUAAGUAAUAGACAAACUACAAAAAUGGUAAAUACAUCAUAAAGAUAAAUUUUGCAUGCAUUCAUAUGUUGUAAAUAUUUUCACGGUAGUAUAUACAUACAUGCCUAAACAGAUUCACCUUUACAGUUUGGACAACUUCUUCUUGUAAGUGUCAUGUACACUCACUGCACAUUACCACAAAUGAAAGCCACAACUUCGAAUAUGGAGAAAGAAAUUUUUUACACUAAUGAGUCACAAGAAUCAAUAAUUUGCUACAAGCAUUUAGUUCAAAUACGUUUCUUCUAUCUAAGUUAAACAUGAAAGAUAAUCUUAGAAGAAGAAAAAUCAUAGAAAUCAAGAGCAUUGGAUACUCUAGCCAUCACCAAACACGUCUUCCAUUUUUUUUUCCUUUGCCUUUUUUUUUAUCGUGUGACCUAUGUGUUGUGGAACAUAAUGAUUAAAAUGUAUUAAACAGUUACUUUAUAGCACAAACAUACUCAAAAUCAGAAUAAUUUUUAAUUACUCAAAUUUGUAGUGUUUAUAAGUUAUCAAAUGCACAAAAUUAUCUUACAUGGAACUUCAAAUUAGCUGAAAGGAUCAGUUUCAAUAAGCUAAGAAUGAUGGAGACCAGAUCAAGAAAAAUUGGUUGAUGAGCUAAAAAGUUGCUCUCCUCGCCUUUGCUAUUAUUAAAGCUAUCCCCUAGGCAAGUCUAUUAUUUUCUUCAGCAAUGCAAGCCAAUUUCUUCUUAUCUGUUCAUCGUCCUACAGUAUGCAUAGAGAACAAUUGAAAUAAUAAUAGGAAGUUCAAAGUGUGCACUAUAGUUGUAUCAACACUCGAGAAUCAGGCGUAGAUUUACGAAUGUAUCAACACUGAAGAAUACACCUACGUCUAGCCACAAAAUUUGUCUCAUCUGUCAAAGGAGAAAAUUAAGAGAAGGUUGUUACCAAGGAAAACAUACCUGAUAAUUCAUGUCCAUCUUCCUUUGUACAACUGUGACAGAGUUUUCUGUGGGAAAUAAUUGAAUAAGAAUCAGAAUAAAGAAGGUAAGUUUUUUAGUGUAGCUAAAAGGAUGGAUGGUUCUUUCACAGAUAAAUUCAAGAAAAAAAUAUAUAAAAUGGUUAGUGCAAAGAAUACUAGGCUUUUGAUUUUGCUGGGUCAUUGUAUAAUCCUUUAAUUCAUAUAUGUCACCUCCAUUGAACAACAACUUUGACUUCGACAGUAGAGAAGUUUCGACUAGGUUUUGGAUUGUGAAACAACCCGGAUGACCACUUGUACUUCUGCUCCACUGCACCCCGCACAACAGCUAUAAUAAAAAACUCCACUUAAGUUGAUUGUAAUAUAAGACCCAAGGUGCAAAGUGUAGUUCAUCGUAAUAUAAUAUCAAGAUAAUCUUCCACGUUCCCCUAUUUUCUGAAGGCACAAAUUCAAGAAGCCAAGAUCCAUGAACAGGUACACCAAUUAGGAGAGCAAGCUCGUGGAGGUCUCUAUAAAUAUUCACAUCGAUAGUGAUGUCAAAUGAUGUUAUGCACAUGAUCUGAACCAAAGACUAACAAACCUGAAAAACAGCAGUGUAGUUCAGUGUUCAUAAUGUUAUUCUUACAAUAACCUUUAUUUAUAAGGUUAAUAAACAGAAACAGAAAUAAGUUGAGACAGAAAAAAUAUAAAAUACAAGAACUAAUCCGAGUCCACAGAAACUAUUGUGUGUCCUUAAAAAUUUAAUCCCCUCAUUGUACCCAAGGUUAUGGAUUAAAUUCUCCCAAGAUAAAACGGAUUAAACUUGUUAAAGAAAUAACGGUACCUCAAACUUCUGUAACUUCAACGAACUUUUGAACACCAACAAGUCACACAGGCUCAGUCGAUCGACACUUUGAUUUUAUUUGAGAGAAAAAUAAAUGCAGAGAAAGAAAAAUUUUUAGUGUUUUAAAAAAUCGAAAAUUGACUUCCUUUUAUAGCCAUUUUCUACAAGGAACAUAUCUGUUCAGAUCCAUUUUAUCCAGAAAGUUGUGUCUCUUGGAAAAAAAUAACAACUUUUAAAAAAAAUUGUGUGUGUUAGGAAAAUAACGACUUUUCAGAAAGUAACGACUUUUUGGAAAGAGUAACAACUUUUCGGAAAACUAAUUAAAUAAAUUUUGUCCAAAAAAUAAUCAAAAUCCAAAUCCGAAGUCGAAACCGAGGCCGAGCGACGACGACGCGAGGGGGCACUUCUUCUUAGCUCUUUAAGAAGUAAUGGAAGUGUUUCCUUCUAUAAGGACAACAAUUUCCCUUUCUUUUGCCAAUAUGGGAGAAAUGACUUUUCAUUUGCACUUUGCAAAUGACUUUUCAUUUUCCCUCCAAAGUAGUUCUCUCACCUUUUCAUAUUCUCUCUUUUCUUUUCCCAUUCACACUUGCUAAAUCCCAACAAUCUCCCACAUGAAUGGGGAAGGCUAUUGUUAAAACAUAUGCAUGAAAAAACUUGUGUGUCUUGUAUGUAAAGGUUAAUCGUAUCUGGAUAAGUAGGUUUCCCUUUAAAGUUUCCAUAGUGACCAUAUAUCGGAUAUACUCGGUCAAUCGGUAGAUUUGAUAUCUUUGAACCGUCGAGCUUUGGUGUAUACCUAGACAACAUAUGUCACACAAUCAACCCUUGAACUGUUCUUAGUUCUCAUUGUUUUGUUCGUUUCAGCCAUGAACACAUCUUGGAUAGUAAGUUCUUAAAGAACUGGCCUUAGCAGAUUCUCCUUGAAGCGGCUUACACUUCACACUAACAUAGGUGAUUUCUAAAUGUGUUAUCCCAUAGAUACACCAUUUGAUAUUCCCUGUAUCAAACUUAGAAACCAUUAAAAAAUUUCUUAUGUCUUUAUCCUGGUUACUAAACAUUGUCUCAUCACGAGAAUGGACCAUAAAAUAAUAAUAAUUUUUUUUCCUUUUCCUUUGACAAUGUUGAACCGUCAUCAAUGAAUUUAUUUUAUCUACUUGAACCUAGAUCUUAGGAUCUCCAGUCUUCUAGGUAGAGUUACCGCCACGAUGACUUGUUCUCGGCCAUAGUCCCAUUCCCGUCGAUGAUUUCUCAACUCCCUCUAUAUUUAGUCCUUUUGUAAGUGGAUUCGACACAUUGUCUUUUGACUUCACAUAGUCAAUUGUGAUAAUUCCACUAGAGAUUAGUUGUCUCACAGAGUUAUGUCUUUGUCUUAUGUGACAAGACAUGUCGUUAUGCAUAAUGCUUCCAGCCCUUCCUAUUGCAGCUUGACUAUCACAAUGUAUGCAUAUAGGGGCCAUUGGUUUGGGCCGAAAUGAAAUAUCUUUUAAGAAAUUCCGGAGCCAUUCAGUUUCUUCACCUGCCUUGUCUAAAGCAAUGAAUUUAGACUCCAUUGUAGAGCAAGUUAUACAUGUUUGUUUGGAUGAUUUCCAAGAUAUCCUCCACCAAUAAUAAAAACGUAUCCACUUGUGGAUUUUAUUUCAAUUGACCCAGUAAUCUAAUUUGCAUCACUAUAUCCUUCAAGAACGGCUGGAUAUUUGUUGUAAUGUAAAGCAUAGUUUUGAGUGUCAUCAAAGUAUCCCAGAACUCUCUUCAUUGCCAACCAAUGAUUAUGAUUAGGGUUACUUGUGUAUCGACUCAGUUUACUGAUAGCUUAAGCUAUGUCUGGUCGUGUACAAUUCAUGACAUACAUUAAGCUUCCCAAUACGCUAGCAUAGUUUAAUUGAGACUGACUUUCAUCUUUAUUCUUUGCAAGAUGAAGAUUUACAUCAAUUGGAGUCUUUGCCCUUUUAAAAUUCAAAAAUUUGAUUUUUUUCAAGUAUCUUUCGAAUAUAAUGAGUUUGACACAAUGCUAGACCAUUAGGAUUUUUAAGAAUUUUAAUUCUAAUAUCACAUCAGCAACUCUUAAAUGUUUCAUAUCAAACUUACUAGCAAGCAUACGCUUUGUAGCUUUUAUAUUAGCAAUAUCUUUGCUCAUUAUAAGCAUAUCAUCUACAUAUAGACAUAAAAUAACUUCCUGAUUUGGAGUAUCUUUAAUGUAAACACAUUUAUCACAUUCAUUGAUCUUAAAUCUAUUUGACAACAUGAUUUGAUCAAACUUUGCAUGUCAUUGUUUUGCUGCUUUUUUUAGCCUAUAAAGUGACUUAAUAAGUUUGCACACUUUCUUUUCCAGGAACUACAAAACCCUCUGGCUGUUCUAUGUAAAUUUCCUCUUCAAGCUCUCCAUUUAAGAAGACUGCUUUCACAUCCAUUUGAUGAAUUUCAAGACCGUAUACUGCAGCUAGUGCAAUUAACAUCCAAAUUAAUGUAAUCCUAGUCACUGGCGAGUAUGUGUCAAAAUAAUUAAGACCUUCUUUUUGUCUAAAACCUUUGACAACAAGUCUUGCUUUAUAUUUGUCAAUAGUUCCAUCGUCUUUCAUCUUCCUUUUAAAGAUCCAUUUUGAACCCAAGGGUUUGUUCCCUUGAGGAAGAUCAACCAACUCCCAAGUAUGAUUGCUUAAGAUUGAUUCAAUUUCACUAUUAACAUCCUCCUUCCAAGAGGUUGAGUCGCUAGACAACAUUGCUUCCUUGAAUGUUUGAGGCUCACUUUCAAGAAGAAAUGUUACAAAAUCUGAUCCAAAUGAAGUAGAUGUCUUUUGACGUUUACUGCAUCUUGGACUUGCUCCAUUUUGUUCAUUCUAUUUUGGUUCUUCUCUUGGUUGUUUAGAUACCCCACUAGAUGACUCAAGUCUAGUUUUAUACGGAUAGAUAUGUUCAAAAAAUUCAGCACUAUCUGAUUUCAUUACCGUAUUAUCAUGAAUAUCCGGAUGUUUGGACUUAUGAACCAAAAAUCGACAUGCCUUACUGUUUGUGGCAUAUCCAAUGGAUACACAAUCCACAAUCUUAAGUCCUAUUUUUACCCUCUUAGGUAUAGGAAUUUGGACUUUGGCUAGACACCCCCACACUUUGAAAUAUUUCCAAUUAGAUUUUCUACCUUUCCAUUUCUCAUUUUGAAUAACAUUUGUCUUUGAGUGAGGCACUCUGUUAAGUAUCUGAUUUGCUGUAAGGAUAGCUUCCCCCCACAAGUUCUGUGGUAAACCUAAACUUAUAAGUAAUGCAUUCAUCAUUUCUUUUAAAGUUCGAUUUUUUCUUUCUGCAAUUCCAUUAGACUGAGGAGUGUAGGGAGAAGUAGUUUGAUGGAUUAUUCCAUUUUCUAAACAUAUUUCUGCAAAUGGAGAUUCAUAUUCUCCACCUCUAUCACUUCUGAUCAUUUUGAUCUUUUUAUCUAACUGAUUUUCAACUUCAGUUUUAUAUUGCCUAAAUGCAUCUAUUUCUUCAUCCUUACUAUUUAGCAAACAGACAUAACAAUAUCUAGUGCAAUCGUCAAUAAAAUUUAUGAAAUACAUUUUCCCACCACGUGAUUGUGUUGACUUCAUGUCACAAAUAUCAGUGUGAAUUAAUUCUAAAGGAUUUGAAUUCCUUUCAACAGAUUUAUAAGAAUGCUUAGCAUACUUAGAUUCAACACAAAUUUGACAUUUUGAUUUAUUGCACUCAAAUUUUGACAAAAUAUUUAAGUUAAUCAAUUUUCGCAAGGUUUUGUUAUUAACGUGUCCCAAACGUUUAUGCCAUAAACAUUUAGACUCAAGCAAGUAAGAAUAAGCAAAAUCUUUAUUCAUAUCAACUGCAAUUACAUUGAGUUUGAAAAGUCCAUCACUAAGGUAGUCUUUUCCUACAUACAUAUCAUUUUUGCUUACUACUACUUCAUCAGAAACAAAUACAUAUUUAAAUCCAUUCUUGGUCAGAACUGGAAUUGAAACUAAAUUCUUUCUCAAUUCUGGAACAUAUGAGACCCUAUUAAAAGUCACCACCUUGCCUGAUGUCAUCUUUAAUAGGACUUUGUCAGUUCCUUCCACCUUUGCAACAGCGGAGUUUGCCAUAAACAAUUUUUCAUCUGUAAGUGCUGGAGUAUAUGAUGAAAAUAAUUCUUUGUUGGCAGAAACAUGGCAUGAGGCACCAGAAUCUAUCCACCAUUCUCUUAGAUUUCCAUCCAAGUUACAUUCUGAUAGCAUUGCACAUAGAUCGUCCAUGUCUCCUUUGGAUUCAGCAUAGUUUGCUUGAUCAUUCUUUUUCUUGUCCUUCUUAGGACCCCGUCAUUCAUUAUCCCUAUGAUCAUGUUUACCUCAAUUGAAUCAUUUUCCAUUGAAUUUCUUCUUAGGAGGAUUGCUUUUUGGACCAGAUGCUUUCUUUCUUUUCUCUAAUUUUGUGGGAUCUUCUUCAACAAAAUUUACUCCAGAUAUUGUUGAAUCACCACAUGACCUCUUUUCUGUAGCCUUAUUAUCCUCUUCGAUCCUCAACCUUACUAUGAGAUCUUCAACAGUCAUCUCUUUGCAUUUGUGUUUCAAGUAAUUUUUAAAAUCCUUCCACAAUGGAGGUAACUUCUCAAUAAUUGCAGUCACUUGAAAAGCAUCAUUCCCAAUCAAUCCUUCAGCAAGGAGAUUAUGGAUUAUGACCUGCAAUUCUUAAACUUGGGUGACGACAGUCUUAUUGUCUAUCAUCUUAUAGUCCAGAAAUUUUGCCACAAUGAAUUUCUUCAUUCCGACAUCUUCUGUUUUGUACUUCUUUUCUAAAGCAUCACAUUGUUCUUUUGAGAUUUUGGCAUUGCUGUACACAUUGUGCAGAUCAUCUUGCAGACCACUCAAAAUAUAAUUUUUACACAAAAAAUCUAAGUGUGUACAUGAUUUUGUUACCAAUAAUCGUUCAUGAGCCGGAGUUUCAUCUGACAUAAUAGGAAUAUUCUCAUUAAUGAACUUCUGCAGACUGAACGUAGUGAGAUAGAAGAACAUCUUUUGUUGUCAUCUCUUAAAGUUGACUCCAGAAUACUUUGCAGGUUUCUCAACCGGCGCUAAGACAGCAUUUGAACGAUUAUGUGCAACCUUUGUUAUUGCAGCACUUACUGUUCCAGCAUUGUUUGACUUGAAUUAGUCAUUUUUUCUGUCACAAAUGACAGAUAAGUUAAGUAUUUAAAAUACUAACAGUAAAGAACAAAUCUUUACACAAACUGUUUUUGAUUUAAUGAUAACGUCUUUAUGUUCUUUUAAUCGUUAAUUGAAUGAUUUUUUUAAAAAAAUUCAAGCAGAGUAGAAAACCAUAAAGGUUUUAAUCUCCAGAAAACAGAAACACAAAUAAGAUGAAGCAGAAAAAAUAUAAAAUACAAGAACUAAUCCGCGUCCACAGAAACUACUGUGUGUCCUUAAAAAUUUAAUCCCCUCAUUGUACCCAAGGUUAUGGAUUAAUUUCUCCUAAGAUAAAACGGAUUAAACUUGUUAAAGAAAUAGUGGUACCUCAAACUUCUUUAACUUCAACGAACUUUUGAACAGCAACAAGUCACACAAACCCAGUCGAUCGACACUUUAAUUUUAUUUGAGAGAAAAAUAAAUGCAGAGAAAGAAAAAUUUUCAGUGUUUUAAAAAAUCGAAAAUUGACUUCCUUUUAUAGUCAUUUUCAGCAAGGAACAUGUCUGUUCAAUGAAAUCUGUUCAGACCCAUUUUAUCCAAAAAGUUGUGUCUUUUGGAAAAAAUAACAACUUUUCGGAAAAUUGUGUCUGUUAGGAAAAUAACGACUUUUUUGAAAGUAACGACUUUUCGGAAAGUAACGACUUUUCGGAAAGAGUAACAACUUUUCGGGAAACUGAUUAAAUAAAUUUCUUCCAAAAAAUAAUCCAAAUCCAAAACUGAGGCCGAGCGAGCGACGACGGCGCGAGGGGGCAUCUUCUUCUUAGCUCUUUAAGAAGUAAUGGAAGUGUUUCCUUCUAUAAGGACAACAAUUUUCCUUUCUUUUGCCAAUAUGGGAGAAAUGUGUUUUCAUUUGCACUUUGUAAAUGACUUUUCAUUUUCCCUCCAAAGUAGUUCCCUCACUUUUCAUAUUCUCUCUUUUCUUUUUCCAUUCACACUUGCUAAAUCCCAACACAUAAAACACUAAAUAAUAAACUGUAGGAAUCACAACUGGAUCCCACAUGCACUACACCAUGAGGUUAGAGUUAACAGUUGCAGGGUACAAUCAAAACAAAAUGUAGUUGCUGGUGAACUGAAGUUUGAUGAUCAAAAAACAUUUAAAUGGUAUACACACCAUGCCACCUAAUCUUGCUCCUAAAGGAAAUCAGAACAUAAGUGAAUCGAACUACUUAUAUUGCUUUUACUUUAGCUUGCAGCCUUCCAGAACCAAACUCUCUCACACACAAGUUUUUCUUGCUAGGUGCAAGAGCAACCGUUGCAUAAGGGUAAAACAUAUCGUGAAAUCCUUGCAAAAGACUCCAGAAAAACUAAAGAACCUUAACAAAAUAUGAAAAAGAAACAAGAACAACAACAAUUUAAAGCUAAUUGGCAAAGUUCUUUUUUAGGUAAAAAGCUGAGAUCUUUUUGUUAUACGUUAGAAAAAUAACCAGCUUUAUACCAAACAAUAUAGCAAAUUGGGGGCAUGCAUAUACAUUACACUCCAGAAACAACUCAGAAAGGAUGCAUCUUUGAGACACAAAUUACACUCCAAGCAAUAUACUUCACGCGUGCAUACCCACACAACCUUUUCCACUCUCUGCAUAUUUUCAAGAGUAACUAUACUUGGGAAUUAGGAUAAUCUGCAAGGGUAAAACAUGUAGUGAUGGAUAUUCUGAGGAAUGAUAAUUAUAUUGAAUUCAGAUUCACAAACAUAUGAAAAGUUAAAUUUCUUCAUAAAGCCUAGACUUGUGCAAAAUAGUAAGACAUAAAUGUAUGAAAUGUUAAGAAAAGAAAACUACAAUUUGAUGGCAAAACUGCAAGACUUUUACAGCUUCUGCUUGGAAUAUGACAAUAUAUGCAUAUAAUAGAACCUCGUAAGUUCCAUUGCAUUCAACUUACAACCAUGAAACCCACACGUAUUUCUUAUAACCGCAUUCAUGUUGUUCUCUCCUGUUCCUAGAGUACCAUCCUUAUUACUUUUAUCCACAUAUUCCUGAAAAGCACUCAUUCAAAACUUCCAGCAAUACUCUCUAUGCUUAGUUCCUCCAUUAACGACUAGUAACAAUCUCUAUGAAUACACUCGAGAUGCUUGUGCUCAAGUGAAGCAUUCUAGUGUGUCGCGUUCAUCUGAGGCGUAACCUUUCAUCUCUUCAACAAGAAAUUGUGAAAUUUUGUUCUUCACUUUUCAAUGUGAAAUCCUGAAACCUGUGAGAAUGUUUGAUGGAAAUUGUGCCCUUCAGACUUAGUUUGAAGAGAAAAUCGUGUUCUUCAAAUGGACAGAAUUUUUUUCUGAUUCAGCACGCAUUUCUUCAAUGAUUCAGCAUGUUGUUCUUUGAUUCGUGGAGAAAGUUUGAUGGAAAGAAAAGCUCAACUCGAUUUAGGGGACUCACUGUGUUUUUCGGGAGUUUGAAAAGAAAGUGACUAUUUGGUGUACGUGACAAUUAUGUGAUUAAUGAUUAAGAAUUGUGAAGUUUCCCUCAAGUUUAUAAGUUGACAGUUUGGUUCAUUGAAUUAAAUGAAGGGUAAAAGGUAAAUUGACUUAAACCUAAAUUAACCAAUUUUGGUGGGAAUUUAAAUUGGGAGAAGCCACUAGCAAGCUGUACCAAAAAGGGAAAUAAAAUAUUUUCCACCACCUCUCGUCAUAUUUAUUUUCUUCCUCUUCUUCUUCGUUUUUCUUGCAUGCUUGCUUAUCUUUCUUCCCGUUCGCUUUAUCUUUUUCUUCUUCUUUUUCGUACAUUAUUGGUCUUGGCUGCUAGUCAUUGACCUUUCUUCUUUUAUUCUUCUUGAAUCAGAUUUAACUAAUUUAAUCACUGGAUUAUAUUUUGUUUGUUCUCAAUUAAAAUUACUUCAUAAAUGAUUAGGGUUCCCACAAUUUUUUUAUAUGUAAAAUUAAUAUUUCUUUGAAAUCGUUUAUCAUACUUUGGGCACGUGCAAUUUUUUAAUAUUUGUAUUCGCAUUUCCAACAUAUUGCUAUACGUUGCAACAAGUGACUAUUGGAAUAAAUUAUAGACAUAUAUAUCAACAGAAAUGUUAUUUCAAUAGCAACAUAAUUGAAGAUGUUGCAACAUAUAACUUACACAAAAUGUAGCAUAUAAUCUAGACAUGUAGCAACAUAUGACUUACAUGUUACAAUCGACAUGAUAUUUAUAUAAUACCCUUGUAAAUCAUUGUUUCAAGUGUUAUAUCAUAUUUUAUUGCUUAAUUAUGGUUUAAAGUACUAAAAUUUUGUCCAAUUUGAGAUUUUUUCAUUCUUAAAUCGCUCAAUUUAUCGAUUAGGACAUCCCUAAACUGACAUAUGUGGAAACAUAUGCACAUUCGAUUGGGAAAAUUGCAAUAGAAAUUCAUGUGGCAACAUAUGUAUAUCAUAAAAUGAUCUUUUGGGGGUUAAUUCAAUUAAAUUGUCACCUAAUUCAACACGUAACACUAAUAUAUAGUCCUACAACAUGUCUAAGUACAAAAUUAUGGUGUAAUACAACAACCUUCAUCAAUUCUAUCAAUUAUUUUUACAAAGAAUAUCAUUUACCACUAGUUCAUCAUACAAUGACCAAAUAACUACAUAUGAUUGUUAUAUAACACCCUUGUAAAUCAUUAUUUAAAGUGUUAUAACAUAUUUUUAUUACAUAAUUAUAGUUUAAAUUACUAAUGCUAAUAUUACAUAUACAUUUUAUCAAAUUAGGGAUUCUUAGGUUUGUUAAUUUUCUUUCUAAAAUAAUAAAUAAUAGGUACCAUCACACUAUUAUUCAUUUUUCACAUCUAUAGAAAAAUUUAUUCUUCAUUAACCCAAGAAAAAAACUUACUAUUGUUCUAAAAUUGUAAAAUCUCUCAAAAAAUGACAUACACAUUUUAAGUCAAACACAAUCUUCAGUUAAGAAAGAGGAGAGAGUCACGACCAGAGAUUAGAAGGAAUAUAAGAUAAUAGGGGAGGAUAUUUGUAUUGAUAGUCGGAUUUUCAGAUUUUCUAAAGAGGAAGAAAAAGAGAAGAGAGAACAUUGAAAUAAGAAUAAGAGAAAUACCUAUUUUAAUUUACUUUUUUUUUUUAAAAAAAGAAUGGUUCGGAUAGACUUAUAAAAUUUGAAAAAAUGAAAAGCUUUUUUAUAUUUUAUAAAUGAUUAAAAUCUUUUAAAAAUAUUAAUUUAUUCCAAAAUUUACUUAAUUACAUUGUAAAGAUGAUUUGACCAGCUUGUGGUCAAUCUGUCACCAAAAACCAAACAAAGACUUAUUUGACACCUUUCAUUUAAUUUUCUCGUGCUCUUCAGUACUAGAUUUCUGAUUUGGGGCAUAUGUAAUUUUUUUAGUUGUUUAUAAAAAAAAAUUUAAUUAAUAAAAAUGGGUGAAAGAUUUACAAGGUUGGAUGAAAUAUGUUGAAAAUUUUGAAGGCCACAUUUUCGAUGUGUUGUUUUUCAUUUAUAAAAAUAGGACACUUUAAAAGUGUGACAAUAUAUGUAAAUAGUUUUUGCUAAUUAUAUUAUACUUUAACAACGCUUAUAAAGUGUAACUUAUACCAAUGAAGAGUAAACUUUACAAGUGUUGCCAAUAUUAUCGGAGCCAAAAAUCAAAAACAUUGACUACGCAUUAAAAGCACUCUCAAAACUAUUUUAAGCAACACUUUACUAGCGUUGUCCAGAUUUUAGUGUGGUCAUAGACCUAAAUGGUGUGAUACUUUCAGAGCUAUUUGGAGUCUUCAAAAAAGAAUUUUACCAUGCAAGAAGUCUCAUUUCUAGACACAUCAACAUUGCUCGAUUUGAAAGGGGGCAUCUUGUCUUCUGCUUUGCGUCUAUCUCUUUUCAAAAGCUCAUGCAAUAUGUGUUGUAAAUCUUACGGAAAAUACCUUCUUGGGGAACACUAUACCAAAUUAUUGUACUUCACAAAUAACUCUUUAAGAAACUUCUUAUAGCUUGAGGUGUGUCGAAAGACAUUGUCCAUAAGGAUAUUUCACCUGGUUUGGGUGUAUCCCCCCAGGAUUUAACAUGUUCUUCUAGUAUAAAACUAGGAUCGAAAUGUUAAGGUAUAUGCUAUUAAUAAUGUGUUUUGACAUAGUAUUCUAACAAUAUUCAAUAUUAAAUAUCUAAGUGAGAGAUUGUUAGGGUAUAUACUAUUAACCAUGCAUUUGGAUAUAGUACAUUAUAACAAUUGUGAUAGUCAAAAGUGUAAGUGAGAGAUUGUUGGAAUGUCUACUAAUAACCAUGUGUUAAGAAAUAAUAUUUAUUAGAGAAUAAAUAUUUACAAAAAUUCAAUAGAUCAUAUAUUCGUUUAUGGUGUCUAUUUACUUAUAUACUAGAUGAUUUAGUGUGUAUAGUUUUAGCUUAUACAUAGAGGAUAAUCAUUGGUUCUUAUAAGAAUAAUGUUUUUAGUUCACAAUAAGGGAUGAAAAUUGGAUAUGCCAUCGGGUACGAUUGUAGAACAAGAUUAUGUGUAAUUUUUCAUGAUUAUGGGAACGAUAUAGUUCCAAUUUUUUGUGCUAGUCAUUUUUUAUGUAUUGAACGGGACCGAGUAGAGAUAGUUAUUUUAGACUGGCUGACAAAAACAUCUUCGCUAAACUAUUAAAUGUACUUAUAUUCUUAAUCUUGAUAUAACUAUUAUGAUCUGUAUAUAUUAAUUAUCGUUUUGAUUUAUUAAAUGAUGAGAUUCUGAGAUGGGUCAAUAUGUCUGUUAAGUUGGAUGAUAAUAAUAUAUAUUGAUGAAAUAAUAAGUUAGUUGAUGGAAUCCAUGUCUCGUUAUAGAUAUCGAUUGAUAUGCCUUUUGAAAAACUUAUAUGUUUUCAUCGUGUCAAAUCUUGCAAGUGGAUUUAUGUAUCCGACACAUGAAAUAAGUUAUGUAGUUCUCUAAGGGAAAUUAAUCAUUAAGUUAAAUUCCUCAGUAAUUUAAUCUAUUGAUUAGUAUUUGAAAUCUUAACAUCAGGAAUUACAUCAGUGAUUAAUAGGGAAUUACGAAAUAGAGGAGUGCAAUUACGAAUUUCUAGCGGAAUGAUUUAUAAUUUAUUAUGGUACGAAAUAAUUUAAAUUAAUUAUUUGGAAUUAUAUCCAUAAUACAAAAUCUCGGUAAUUAAUUAUGUGCUCCCUAUAGUACCCAUAUUUAAGUAGAACUCAUAAUCCUAUUUUUAUGCAAAAAAGGAAGAAUAAUAUAAAAUUUUCUAGUCCUUCUAUAUUGCAAGUGCAAGUCGACGUUCCUGAUAUGAAAGUGAAAGCCGGCCCUAAGCAGGAUCCAAAGACGUUUAAGUCCAGUUCCAAUCUGGAUAUAAAAGUAAAGUUCAAUCGUCGAAAGUGAGAUCUCUUUUAGUCCGGUCUUCUUUUCUCUUUUGAGUCAGGUUCUUAAGACAGGAAAUCGGGUUUUCUGAAUAUCUCUCUUCCGGCCGCCGGCCUGGCCUAUUAAGUAAGUUAGUUAGAGAUCGAAACUGGACCUGAGAGAGACUAGACUUCUAGUAAGAGUAGGUGCGCCUUAAGUUGAGGAGAGCUGUUCACAAGCAGUGGUUAUGAGCUCUUUCUUGUUCCGGUUCAGAAGAGGCUGCGCACCUUCAGUUGCACUAGUGGAUUGAAUAACCUUUUUUUUGAGUGCCAACAAAGUGCAUGUGUUCUUGGUUAAUAAAAACACAAGUAUAGGCUGGAGGACUGAUACUAUAAGUAGGACAAAGGCCUUCAAAGAGAAAUGAAAGGAUUUUUUGAGCAUUUUUCCACUUAUCCAAGGAAUCCCUUUCUUGACAUUUGUAUUUGAGAGAGAGAGCUAUGCUUAGGUCAGUUCCUUCAGUCAACUUUUUUGGUAAGCCAAAAGUGAACUUUAGGUAAGUAAGUAGUCCCGUAUGAAAUUCAGAAAACAUUCAUAUCUGGCACUUGAGGAGGUCAAUCUUAAGUGUUGGAAGCUACUGCUAAGGGACUCCCCCUCAUCUAGAAAGGAUAGGCAAUUGAGAGAGAAUAGGGCGAUAGCGACAGACACAGGAACUGAAAUAGAUUUAAAGAUUACUUCCGUAGAGGAGAGGGGAAGGCUGCUUAGAUAGGGCGAUAGCCCGGUUUUUAUUGUUUAUCCUUUCCUGCGCUUGUCUUGUAUUGAGGUAUACCGAAGAGAUUCGUAAAAGUAGGUAACAGAAGGGGAGGGAUUGCUGUUUUUUAUUAGUGAGGACAAGCCGCUUUCAUUUUCAACAAUCUAAUGCCACACCAACCCUUUAAAGAGUAGGCGGUUCGUAUCUUUCUAUGACCCCCAAGAAGUAGGAGGAUAGGCAGAGCAAGAGCUCUUGAAGUCUACCCGGGCGCGCUUCUUCAUUCAUCCAUUUAGGCCCGGCUAGGAACACGUGGAUCCAGGGAACCUGGCUCGGGAACAGCUUCUUACUAGUAGGAGCUAAUCACAGUAAGAGAGUCCAAUCUCUGAAAUAGAGCUUAGUCUCUCCAUAGUAGUCUACUAGUAGAAGGCUUAGGUUAUGACUUGAUCCAAUAGAGUCAGAACACCCUUCUAUCUAAAAGAAAUGGUGCUCGAUGAAAGGAUCCAGAUUCCACACUAUGCUGUGGGCUGGGGAGAGAGCUGCUCUGCGAAGCUGGGCGUUCAGUGUUCUUAUGGAGGAAGCAUACUAGAAAGAGAAUUGAAAGGGCCUUCAAAAAAGAGCGAGGGGGUGAUGGGCAACCUUAGUCUAUAUGUUGCUCGUGAGCCGCCAAGUACCAGUCUCGCAACAGUAUUGGCGCAAAAAAAAGGAUCGGUCCUUCACUUGCUGAUCGUUCGCGAGUCGAACUCGCUCUCUUGCCACGCCUUUCACUCACUCGCUUGAGUCGGACUCAAUCACUCUUUGAGUUUGGAGGAUCAUUCGUUAUUCACUCUCUUGCUAUUACCCGCAGGGAGCGCAGCAACCAAGAUGCAUAUUAUCAUAUAGAAAGAGGCGAAGCGUAGCGAUUCGUACUACCGGAAAAGUUUCGCUAACCGGCAGGCAAUAGAAUCAGCCGAUAGGCGCAGGCAAGCGUAGCGAAUCACAUAGAUAAGACCCUACCUGCCAGCGCGCGGAUGGAUAGGGCGGGCGAAGCGCGAAGGGGAUGGAUGUCUGAGCGGUUGAAAGAGUCGGUCUUGAAAACCGAAGUAUUUUUAGAAAUACCGGGGGUUCGAAUCCCUCUCCAUCCGCGUGAACAUAACAUGUAAUGUUGUUACGAAUGUAACUCCCGAAGGAUCGACCACUAUUCUAAAUAUAGUAAGGCGGAGAACUGUUGUUCAGUGGAGCGCCGGAGUGCGGAGGUUGUUCCCAUCAUUGAAGUCAGGGUGUGGGACUGAGCCUUCCGAAUGAGAAAGAAGAAAAGUGCUUAGUUUCGUUGGAAAAACCAACGCAAAUAUCAUAUUGACUUUCUCUCGCCCUACUUCUAAAGAUAGAUAGAAAGGGUUGGAGAGAAUUUCAGAAAGUCAUUCUCUCCUUUCUAAAGCUGCGCAAGGCGGCCCCCCCAGAACAAAGCCCACCCCUCUUUUCCCCCCUUUAAUGAAGGACCCUCGCCUCGCUUCCUAUUCAUUUGUGGGUCUGGACCCUAUUUUUUUUUUCAAUUUCGAGAAGAAUGGGAAAUUUUUCUCGCAGACAACGGUGCUCUGGUCGAAAAUUAGGGGAUCAAUAAAAUAACAACACCCACCUAACCUAAUUAAUGUGGUGUGGAAGGGCAAGCGAUAGAAAAGUCCCUCGCGCGAACUACUACUACUAGAAAAUGGUGAGACCAUUAGUGAAAGAAGGACCAAACCAAGGAGGAUCCUCGAAUCCAGAUCAAGCCCCUGAAGCUGGAAGAUUGCGCAUCCGAUCAUCGAGCGGCGCAGGUACACUCUUUCCUUUUUUUUAUCCCACCUGAUGAUUCAACUGAUUUUUUUCAAGCAAUCGCAACUACUUUCUUUCUCUUCCACUGCCUUCCCACGGACAACAUAAAGCACCAACAGCGUCCGAGAUUACUAGAUAGAGGAGAGACCUGUACUGAAAGUUGAAAGUAAGAAAGCUUAGUUAAAUGAAAGUUCUUUCAACAUUUGUAUCUGCCUUUCUCAUAAAGAGAACAGAACUUCCUCCCGUGUGGAAGUCUGUCUUUAUUCGCUGCUCCUGCUCGUCAAGUAGGCGCUUUAUGCUCUGCUCUUCCAGUUAAAGUCAAGCUCCGGGUUUUUGGUCUAGUCAAAGUUCUAUCUGGCUUUCCGCUGGGAAAGUAAGAGACGAGUAUAGUUGCGAACCUGGAAGCCUGCUGAAAAGGGCUUCUCUUUCUAGUUCGAGAAGUUUUAAAUAAAGCAAAAAGCUUUUUUCAGAUGAAUGGCUUGAUUCUACUUCUUUCACUUUCUUUAGCUAUUGUUCACUAGUCUAACUAAAUAAUAGUUAUAUAUAUAUAUAUAUUUCCUCUCUUUAUCUUAUCCUUACCUUAAUAAAGGAACUUAAUAACUAAACUUCCCCCUUGUCUUUAUCCUCUUGUUCUGAGCCUGCCACCUAUCGAGCCGAACAGAGCCUUUCGCCUUAGGCGCGAUAGCUUCACUCUUAACCCGCAUUAUCUGAGAAAAGCAUAGAAACAAUUCCCUCAUCCCGACUCAGCUUCUCUCUCCGAUACAGGAAAUCUAACAAUUCCUAUUCUUACUAACCUUUUUGCCUAGCGUCUUUCCGAUAUAUUGAAUUAUCAUCCCUAAUCUACGAUAGCGUGAUGCCACCAACAGUCGAUUUAUUAGACUGCUCCCCUUAAUUGAAUCUCCAGGCCUGCCAAAGACUGCCCACUUACAAAAAUGGCCUAAGCCUAUGCCAAUGGACUCAUGACAUCCAUGCACUGAGUCGUCAAAUGACGCACGUUAAGAAGACCCAAGCCUACAUGCACGGGCCCAUCCCACAAAGUCCUACAAAUGAAGACUCGGGCCUGUCAAGCCUGCUUUCCUCGAUCCAAGCCCGGUGAAAAAAAAAAGCAUAAGAAGAGUCCGAUAAUGGCCGGUCUUUAAAGGCCCUUAAGAAAGAGGCUUAAGUCAUCGAUUCCAAUCCGAUAACGCUUUUCUUUUUAUUGGUAUGCCGCUCCGCGUCCGCGAGCAAGGAGCGAGCUAAGUAAAUCUUACCUGAAAAUGAGUGAGAUUCGAUUCUUUUUCCUUUGUCCUUUUUGUUUUGUCAUUUUCUUUUCUAUAUGAUCCCAAUUAUUAUAUAAUAGAAACUAUAAGAAUCCCAAAACAUCACAUAAUACGUAAAAAAAAAAUAGAGUCUCAAUUUUUUUUUCAAUUUCUAAACAACUAUCGUUUGUGAAUGUAGGUUGUGUCGGGGAUAUACUGUGGCUAGUAAGUCAUUUCGUUUGCAUUUUCUUCAACGAGACCGAAAACACAGCAAUGAUUUGUUUUAUGGACAGUUAUAUUAUUUCCAGCCCAAAUGAGGUAGUGCCUAAUGUCACCGGGAGCGAGUUGGUAGGGGGGCCUGAGAUCUUGAGAAUGGAUCAAGGAAAUCCUGAUGCUCCGCCAGCCAUUCCUCAUGCUGAACAGGCUAUGGGGGAUCUGGAUCUAGCCUUGCGAUUGGGGCCGCCGAGCCCAACAAAAGAGGCUCUCGAAAGAGAGCUUUCGACCUUUCUUUCUUCCUUUGGAAAUAGGGAAGUUAGAAGGGAUGUCUUGGAAGGGACAAUAAGGAAACUCGACUUGAACAGCGCGUCCCCAGAAAAGCUUUUUUUUGAGGAUCCGACAACUUAUGCAGGAACUUUCCAACAGACCGGUUGCUGCUUCCACAGCUAAGAAGGCUUUAUUGAAAGCUUUAAAAGAGUGGGAGAAAGGGGACGCAUGAGCGUUGGAUAAUGGAAAGAAGGUAGAAUUGCUCGGGACCCCUAGUGAUCGAUUCUUUUUCUUUUAUAUAGGUAGGGUUGGGCAGCGACUCUACUCCUUGAAGUGAAGAAUCGAAAGUCGUCGUUCGUUAGACAAGGCCCACGUGCUGUGCAUCUCUGGUGUUCUGCUCGCGGGGAGAGGGAUGCGGGAAAGUGGGGUCCUCUCACCUGUGCUCACUUCCGUUUUAGAAGUCAGAUUGGAUUUCCAAUUGGUGCUCAACAGAAGGGUUCCAAACCUCUGAAAGGCGAGGCAGAUUUAACGCUACGCCCUUCCCUUAGCGCCUCCCUCUAGGCGGGGCUCACAACCAAAGGAUGCACGGGGUGAAGUUGCCACCAUGAACUAAGGAUUGGAAGGGUUGAGGAUAGAGUUUCUUUUUCAUUUCCAGGGUAGUUGGCAAGAGCUAUAGCAGCUUACGAUGCAGUUGAUUCGGAAACAUACGCCAGGGCGGUUGGGUGGGGAGUCAGAUCAGGCCAACGGUCCUGCUCCGCUUUAUACUAAGAGAGUUUGGUUGGGUCUGACUCCGUUAUAGGGCUAGUACGCCGAGCAGCUUCGAAUUCUGCUGUGCCGGUGCACAAAGCAAGCACACAAGGACUGCGUAAAUCUUUGGUCUGUCUAUCAUUGCCCAUGUUGGGCUGACUCCUUUUUUUAGGCAAGAAGACCACUAGUUGAAUUAUUAAACUAUUAAGACUAACUGAAAAAAGGGUACUACUCUUCUUCCUCCACUACUGAUAUUGACUGACCUGUUGAUAGGAUAGCAGGGAAAGUUGAGAGUAUAUCCGGAGAAAGAAAAAAACCUUUUCAGGAUGAGACUACGAACCCUAAUGGAGCCAAUGAGAAAGCAGUUGCAGGCCAGUGUAGGCUUGCUCCGCACAGGUUACAUCUGGGCCUUAUAUUGAUAUUCUUUUCAAUCCAUUUGGAAAUUUCUUCGGUCCGGGGUACCGCGCAAUCCGUUUAGAUCUAUUUCAGUUGCCAAUGAAAUGGAAUACGGGGGACUCUCCGUCUAAGUGGUUAAUCCGACGAGUCAAUUCUCAAUGCGAUGCAUCCGUGAAAUGGGACGGAGAUCUGCCCGAACUUAGUCCAGUCCUAUUAAAGAUGGGGGCGAAUCAAGCAACUCUUAUAGAUAGAUGGGAUAGGAAGGAAGAACCACUGAUAGCAUUUGCAGCUGCUUCUUUCCGAUCGAUAUACAAGCAGUUGGGCGCGAAUAGGACUGUCUUUCAUUUUGCUUUUACUUAUUUUUUGGAAAUCUAUCAUUUUCCAAAUUUUUUCAUUGUCUUUAGUACGAUCUGGCUUCACACCUCUCGCCUAUCGGAACACCAACCCAAUCUUGAAAGCUGAAGUGGGUUUGGGGAAUGGAAGAACAAGAACAUCUUCUUUACCACCAAAAAUGGUAACAUAAGACCCUUCUUCACUCAUGCUUGUCAUCUGCUCGUGAAUACCGUCCAGUCAAGUCUUUGUUCUUUUAUUCUUAAAUAUGGGUGCUAACCAGAUUCCCCAUGUUAUAUGCGAGGUCAAUAAAAUUCUCCAGAGAGUGAGUUUCUGAUCAUAAUGACCACCUAAAGUUGGAUUUCCAGUUGUAGUUUUUAGUUUGGGGUGCCAAUAGUAGCAUAGUUGCUUAGUCGUCCUUCCUCUUACGUAUUACAAUAUAGGUGCUUUGAAUGCUGCCUUUAGCGGAAAACGGACUUAAUGGACAAAUAAGGGAUAGGCAAGAAUCUGUUCUUGAACUCUAGAGAACAGGCGGAAAGAGGUUCAUCAGAGUGAUAGGGAAAGCUUAUAGAGGGGGGGUCUUACUACGACAAGUGAAGCCAGGGUUCCCUUUGUUCGGUGUCCGGGGAAGAGAAAGGAAUCUAUUCGGGAAGCGCUUACCAGCCCCUUUACCGAUACCAAGGGGAAGCAGGAAUUAGACCAAUAGGGCAUUGCUCUCCGCCUGUCGUAACAACAACAAAAGUCCAUACCGGAAUUUCAUUACCUUAUUCCUUAAACCCUAAAACGGAGACAUUGGUACAACAGGAGGCUCGAGAGACCUCGAGCGUAAUAUACGCUACCCUCGGAGAGACUUUAGCCACAUCUUAACCCGAAUGAGGCGAUCAAGAAAGUCGUGGGCCUCGUAGUACCCGCAUACGACAGCUCUGUGGAGCCUUUCGGGUCGAAAACCUGUUCGACGUCAGAACCGAUCUCAAAACCCUAAUAUCACCAUCUUCAGAGAAAGGACUUUCUCUAUAUCUAUAUCUAUGCAACUAGUUCUUUCACUUGCUUCCAAAUCCAUCCAUCUUACUUACUCAAAAGCUUUGAAUAUUCUACUCGAAAUCUUGCUUCUAGCUUUGGGCACCUCUGACAUAAACAGAAAUAGCGUAUAUACAAGGCUAGCCCUUUCUCUCAAGCGUCUUGGUAUUGGAUCCGCUCUUCUGUUAACAUGAACAUGAAUUAGAUUCUAUUCUAAUUCUUUAUUCUUAAGAGAAUCCCCCACCCGAACCAUUCUUAAGACCACCAAGCUCUCUCGAAUGAAUUCUACUCUUUCUGCUUUCGAGCUACACCGGGGGCAAAAUCUUUUCCCCACUAAGACGUGCAUCUUUAUGGCUAUAUCGUCCUGAAGACGGAUGCGACGGGAAGAAGUGGCAUUUGGAAGUGUUGCUGACUUAACAUUUAGGUUUCGGCAUAACAAAGCUUGCACUGUCUUUUCGCACUUAGGCGCACAGCGUGCCAUUGGUAAUGAUUCUACUACGGUGCCACAAAUUCGCAAGCUGAUCCUAAGUAAUCGUUGUUGUUCAUUGGAUUCCGGAGGAACUACUUCGUUAGGAUUGGGGAAUUGCUGCGAUUCUUCCUGAAUAGCCUGGAUUCUCCCGUCGAGAGUCACUUUGAAAGUAUUACCUAAACUCUUCCGACUGAAUAUGAUAAAGCCUAUAAAACAUAGAGCUACUAUCAUUUCUUCAUUAUAAAUUGAGAUCUUCUUCGAACUUGAUGCACAAAUAGAUAGAAUAGCAGCAAAUAGCAUCUUUCUAGCCUGCAUAUUCGUGGAACUCAAUCUCAUUUAGAAAGCCUGAUCUCUAUCUUUCAGCAACUGAACGGGAAGUGGUUUAAGAAUAAGAAAGGACUUUAGAAUCGGAUGCGCUCGCCCAGCGAGAAAGGCCCUGACCCUGCCAACCAAGUAUCAAAAAGAAAGAAGAGAAAGAAAGGAGAAGAGAACUUCGUAUUUUGGUAACUCUCUAGGAGUCAUCUUUAACCUUGAAUGCUAUUAAUAGAUUCUACAGCAAUAGUCCCUCGGACUCGGAAAGUAAUAACGAAAAUAGCUAACCCAAUAGCAGAUUCCGCAGCUGCCACCGUUGGAACCAAUGAAGCAAAUGAUUGACCCAUCAUAUCAUCCGAAGAAACAGAAAAUACCAAAAAGUUCGAAUUCACAGCUAAUAACAUUGAUUCAAUUGGCAUUGACAUAAUAGGAAUAUUUCGUCUAUUAAGGAGGAUUCCCCGAAUACCUGAAAUAGAGAUAAUCAUAGAAAAUGUGAAAUAUUUGAUAGGAUCCAUUUCGGGAACGUAGAAUGUAAGAGAAAUUCAAAUGUGAAACAAUA
rnacentral:lncRNA from 1 species